AACAAUAAAAAUUGUAUAUUAGAGUAAAAGAUUCCUAACAACACUAUCAAUAUAUCAAAGUCGCGGAAUUAGAAUUUUACUAAGUUGAUUAAAAAUAUAACAAAAUACUAAACACAGAAAAAAAUAAAUAGGAAAUUUAUCAAAUCCUUUACACCCCUUUGAACUUUGUCUACACAAAUAAAUUGAAUUCAGUUAUACGAAUCCUCAUUGAGUACGUAACAUGAUUAAAAUAGAAGGAUUGAAAGUUUGACAAGUUAUUCUCCUCUACUAAUUACAGUAUUCCAUCCAUAGUAAUUACCCUCUAAACAAGGUAAAUAUCAACAAAUAAGACCGUUAAUUAAUUUAAUUAAUAAGAUUAUCAUUAAGUAUGAUGUAAUUAGUACUGUCAGUGCUAAACCACCACCCUCUUCAGUAAAUAAUUACUAAAAUAAUAAUAUGUGAGGAAUAAAACAUUCAUGAAAUUCAGUUCAUUUUUUGGCAGUUUCUUUUUUUUUUUUUUUAAAAAAAAAUAAUAAUUCAUUUUUAUCUUUUAUUUAAGCUUUUUAGAAAAUGCCACUUGCAGAAAGCAGAUGAAAAAUUUGCAGAAAAAAUAUAUAUAAAAUUAUAAAUAUUACUAUUAAUCUCUGCAAAAAUGAACGUUGCUUUGUUCUUGUGUUCCAUAAUUGUUUCUCUUUGUAACAGUGCUACUUUUAUUGAAUUGAAGAUAGAUAUAUAAUAAACAAAUUGCAUAUAUAAAACACUUUGUAAUUUAGCGAUUAAUGAAAUAAAUGUAAAUCUUAAAGAUCGAAAUUCAAAUUUUAACGGAACAACAUAAAAUAACAAGAAGGUGAUUUCGUCUCAUCUAUAUAAGUCGAUAUGAAAGUUUCCAGAUAUAUCUACUAAUAAUAAUAAGCAUUCAAUAAUAAAUCGAGUGAUCUCCGAUUGAACUAAGAUGUGGUGUAUUGAUAUUUUCAAGUGAAGGAGAGCCUCGGUCAGUAACGAAAUUAGAAUUUUAUGUUUAUGAAGAGUUAUUUAGUGUUUUUAUUUUGUCUUCGUUGAAAAUUGAACCUGAAACCUUAACCACGCACUUCAUUGACCACUAGGCUAUGUAUCCUUGAAUACCAACCCAAUUAAAUACUUAUGAUAUUAUUUACUGAAAUAUUUUAACUAAAUUAACAUAAACUCGUAACUUAUAAUUACGCUAGAUUUAUUUUUACCUUAAGCGAUAAAAUUAUUUUUAUAUGAUCUCUAGGUUACGAAUUUAAUCACUUCCACACACUAGAUCAGAGAAUAUACUUUAAAGAUAUGUGUGAGCUUUGGAAAGAGAGUUUAUAUUUAUUUACAUUUUACAAUGGUUAAUAUCUCUGACGAACUUACAUUUACAAAUAAUAUAUAGUAAUUUUUCCAAUAAAUAAAUAUAUAAUCAUUCAGUGACACGAAUGCUCACUAAUUAACAAGUCAAUUAUACAAGUACCUUUAAUGUUUUUUAUAACACCAUUUGCUAAUUAGAGGACGAGGAUUAUGGUAGAAGAUUAAUUAUAACUGAAAAUCAUCUAUUCUCAUAUCAAUAUGACAGGUUAUUACUGUAUUACGGAUAUGUUGUUGUAUUACUCUAUUGCUAUCUUAUUCUUCAAUUUAAUUAUUACGCGUUGUUUCCUAUACUUUCAAUUGUGUGAAAAUUGAUCCAAAAAGCGGAGUUCUCUCUGAUCUUUUACUAAUGGGGUUCCACCCAAUGGCGGAGCCACCCUAUCUUUAAGGGGGUCAUCCGACCCCCUUUCGGCGGAAAAUUAUAUUGUUUUUACAUGGUUAAAAUAAUUUUUUUAUGUAUAUAUAGUAGAUGUCGAACCCCCUUAGGCUAUUUCGUGUGUCUAUUUCUUCAGAUUUUGAACCCCCUAAUUAAAAAUAUUGGCUCCGCCACUGGUUCCACCCUCUCGGUCAAGUUCAUUCAAUCUCAUACCAAAUGUCAUCAAUAGAAUCACUUCUUCAAGAAAACACCGAUUAUCAUCAACGCCAUCUUACUUCUCAACUUAUAUGGGCUUAAUAUAAGUUAUCCGAAUUCAUCAGGUCCAAUGCAAGUACAUGAUAUCAGGUGGGAAACCAAUACAAAACUUGAGGAUGCUGUAGGAAGUAUGAACGGAUACAUUUCAAAUUCUGAAUCCGUCUCUAAAUUGGUAUGAAGAUCAAUAAUAACAAAAACCAAAAAAGAGCAAAAGCUGCUACACUUGAAAAGCAACCAUAUGAGAAUCCUCUAUACUUUCUCUAAACCAACUUUUUUGUAAUUAAAAGUAAAAAAAAUAUUAAAGCUACACAUAAUAUAGUUAAAAAAAUGAAAAGCAAAAUUGGGAAUAAUAUCCCUAACAUCAAAAUUUGAAUAUUACAUUUUAGGAAAUAACUUAUAAUCUUGCUUAUAUUGCUACAUGAUGGAUCUACUGUUGUCACUGUUAACUCUCUGCUUUCUAUUUGGAGCCGUGUCUUCAGAAAACCUACAGCACAAAUUAAGAACUUAAUACACAAGCAGUGUGAAGAUCUGAAAUCAUUUAUCUUUAGAAGACGAAAAAGAAUAUUGGAAUACACGAUAUCUAGAGUUCAAUUACGAGACGUAUAACCAAAGGUCUUAGGAUCAAACCCUGGGAAUAGAAAAAUUCAUGAAAAGGAGCACUUCCCUCUUGAAUGGGCCUUACUCAACGUGAAUCCAAAUUAGUCGAGGCCUUGAGGAUAACCAGAUACCAGAGGGAGACAAAUUUUUUUACUAGACCUAUAAACUAUAGAAAAUAAUGUGACUUAAUGUAUCGAGGAAACCAAAAGUUGGGAAACAAAAAUGUUGUUUUAUGCAUCUGAUUAAAUUUCAGAAAAUGAGAUUGCUCACAAAAAUGCACGAAUCGUGAAGUCAUGCUUUUUUUGUCUUAUAAUCGUGGUAUCUGGUGCCAGCUUGCGAGCGUAUCGUUUAUUCCACGGGAUACCUACUACCGACCACCAACAACAGGUGCCCUGUAAAACUUUGUCCACCAAGACUCAGACAAAAGAGAAGAAAUCACCUAGUGAUCUGUCUCAAACCUGAGACCUUAUGAUUUUCCUCACUUCAUUGACAACUAGGCCACACCCUUAGGUGCGUGAAGUCAUGCUUGGAAAACUAUCUACAAGUUGGGAAUCAUAAGCGAGGAUAGACCGGAAGAAUGACCUCAGAAAUACAAUCCAAUAUGAUUCAUAAAUCAAUUUACGGGUAAUGAUUAAAUGAGUUCUAGAGAACUUACAUCUCCAAAAUUCUCUUCCUCUUGUCGUUGCAAAUGUAGGAGCUCAGCUGUUCAACCCCCAUAUUUGCAAAAGUCUUGUCUAGAUCAUAAUUCAACAAAUUACAUGCAUCUAAAGUUGAUGAAGACUCGGCUGUAUCAGGUGUACCGGAGAGAUCUCUAAGUUUUCCUUUAAGAUUCUCCAUCAAAACGAAACCUGCCAAAUAGUGAAGUGAUCAAAACUUCAGUUAAACCGACGUGUGAUACAUGCCAACUACAUGGAUUCUUUCUGCAAGUGAUAACUAAGAGUAAUAAUUACACUGAAAAAGACUUUGGUAAGGUUAAAGCCUUGGCAGCCGAAAAACAGGUGUGAUUAAGUGAACUGUUUUGCAAAAUAUCCAGGGGAGUAAACCUGAUCGCAUUAAGGCAUGGUAAAGUUUUUUGAAGUUACAGUAAUGCAAGAUAUUCAUGCAGGACAAAAAACACAACACAAGAAGAAGCAAGCAAUGAAGGGACCCUCACUAGGAUAGAAACCCACAAUAACUCAAUAAUUCUACGAAGAUUCAACUUUAAGAAAUGCGAAAAAAUACAUUGUGUCUCUAAAUACCAAGUUUUGUAUAAGCAAUGAUUCUUCUUAUCAUCUUAUAAAAAGAAGCAGCAGUCGCUCUGUGCUUACCACUUCACCUCGCUUCUCGCUUCUGUCAUUGAACCAGUACCAAAUCACACUCCCUAUUCAGCACAGAAGCUCCGAAAAUGAAGCUUCAUUUUCCUGAGUUUGGUGGCAUCAAUCCGAGGGCUAGAUUAGAAGGCACGGAAAAUAUUUUGAAACCUAUCAAAUUCCUAAUAGAUGAAGCUGAAUUAUGUUUAACAAGUAAUGCAUCGAGUUAAUUACUGAUUUAAAGAGCAUUUAAAGGAUUCCCAGUGGAUGGUCUAUCUUGGCUAAUGUUCUGGGCAGAUCUACACAGGAGGUUUAGCGAUUUUAUAUAUAAGUUCAAUAAACUUCAGCGAUGUGGAACUGUGGACAGUUAUUACGAGCAAUGGAGGGUGCAACCAAUAUGGUGAUGAUUAACCUCCAUCCUACUGAAUUCCACUUUGUAACUUGCUUUGUCAACGUAUAGAAACAAGAGAUCAAGUCUCUAGUGAGGAUAGCCAACCCUGCCACCCUCAUGGAUGCUUAUGAAGUAGCCCGACUGCAUAAUGAAUCUAUUAAAGCUCUUCAUAGAUAAAAACUCCUUCAAGAUGCUCCUAGUACAUCCUAAGCCCUCUAGAACCCUCUAAUAUGUCAUCUCAGACUUGUUUGCCCAUUUUACCUUUCUUUCUUUAAAUUAUAUUUGGAAGUAUUAUAAAGAUGUAAUGACUGAAAAAGCUGAGUUCCCUCCUCUCAUAUCCCCUCUUCUUAUCUUCUGAUUUCAUUCUUUCCUUCUCCCUUUGUUCUUUACUUGCUAUAAAUGUGCAAAUUUUUCGCUAUCGGGCUCAAGUGUAACAAUAUUUUUUAAAAAGAAAAGUUACUGUCAAUCUGAAGGAAAGUAAAAACAGACAAAGAAUUCAGCAAUUUCUAUAGCAAAUACCAGCUUAUAGAUGAUGCACCAUUCAAGUAAUGAAUAAAUGUUACAAACUUAUGGAGAGGAGGAAGAAAAAACUCACUGAGGGCUCGAAGGGUCUUCAAGUCAAACUUGUUAGCUAGAGACUUGUGACCAAUCUUUUUGGCACGUUGUUGUAUCAGAACUUUCAAACCUAUCAAUAAAUCCUAAAAAAUUCAACCAGAUCAGACAUAAGAUAUUGGUCAUCACCCAAAAGAAAAGGAAAAAAAUGAGCAGAGAUAACUUACAAGCUCAGAUUCGGUUAAGGAACAAAGCCACCAAACAUCUUCAAUUCUAUUAUUCCCUAAUAUAGCCAUCUGUUCUUUCAUCUUUCUUUGGCGUGCAGUUAAAGGACACCUGAUGGGAAGAGGUAAAAUCUUUUUAAGCAUUAUUGCAAGGGUGAGAAGCAAUGCGAUAUAAAAAAGGUGUCCCAGGUAGUAUAUGGUGAUUAUAACCAUACACAUUAGGUACUAAUGGAACAGGGAUAAUGCAACAGCAAAUGAAGAAAAAAUUGUAUAUCAGACAUUAUAUGGCAAGGUCCUUGGAUGAAAGCCUAGUACACAUGGAAUUGGCAGGAAGAUUCACAAGAUGUUUUGUUAUUUGCAAAUAGUGAUUGAAUUUAUCAUAGUUUGCCAACUUCUUCUUGUUAUAAGUAGUUGUAGCCAUUGUCUGUUGUGUGAAUCCUCUUAGAAAUGUAUGAAUAUUUAGCAGCUUCUGUGCUUUUCUUUUAGUUUUUAUACCCGUGGAGUCUAGGUCAGCUAUCAGGUAAUUUCACGCGGUACCUGCUACCUCCUACCAGUACAAUCACCGUGUAACUCUAUCCACCAAGACUUGAACAUAUGAAAAAGAAAUCACCUAGUGUUACCAGUGACCUAUUGAUUCUCAACCAAGUUCAUUGAUCACUCCGUCACACCCUUAGGUGCCUCAUCUUGUUAUUUCUCUCUUCAAUACAUGUUUAGAAUAAGAAUAUAUUUUCAAUACUGGAUCCAUGUUUCAAGUUUCAACUUUGCAUCAAUAGGUCUUUCAUCCUCUUUCUUACUACUAGGUGAAGAUACAGCCAGCAAAACUCUAUCAAGGAAACCAUAAAAUUUAGGUAUAAACAACAUAACCAAUGCAAAGUCCAGAGAGUAUAGAGUUUACAUAAAUCUUACUCCGGUUAUUUUGGACAGACCUUCAGCUCAAGGAAAAUCAUAUCAAAGCAGAUACUAUAGAAAGCAUGAUAAAGCGCACGAUUAUAAAAAAUAAAAAGGAACAACUACAAUAAAUAAGGCUAGGAAUAGCCUUUGAAGAGAAACUUACAGUUACGGAGGACGCCGGCGGUCGGUGUGGAAGACUUGCAGCAGCGGCACGCCGGCGCAGGGAGAUGGACUGACGGCGGGGGAGGUUUUUUUUUAACAGGGAGAGGGAUUUGGGGAAAAUAAAAAGGAAAUAUCAAAAUUCAUACUUAAGGAAAAGGAAAAUAGCGUUUUUAGUCUCUAAAGUUAUUGAUUUGUUCAUUUUGAUCCUCAUCUUAGUGAAUUGAGCAUAUUUAAUCUUUUUUUUGGAAUAAAAUAUGCUAUUGAGAUUCAAAUUUGUGAUUUCCAUUUUUUAAAAUAAAACUUAACCUAUAUUAUAAGUUUAUAUUUUAUAAAAAAUAGACUCAUCAUUUUAAAUUAUGUAAAUAAAAAAGAUUUAAACUCGGUGUGAAAAGAUAAAGGCAAAACCACUCAAAUUUAAUAUCUUAAAUUCAUUUUUUUUGUAAAGUGCACCCAUCCUUUCAAAAUCCUAGAUAUGUCUCCGAUUCCUUCACUCCUUUUUAAAAAUGUAUUGCUUUCUACGUAUUUUUUGUAUAAGCAUAUUUAAAUUUUGAAUUCGCUUCGACUUCUAAGAAAUAUAUGCUCAAAAGAUGAUAGAUGAGAUAUCACAUUGGAUGUUUUGGAAUGAGUAUCUUGAAUAUUCCCCCGUUCCAAUUAAUAUUUUUGCUUUUUGAGAUUUAAACUCUGUGAAUUUUGACCAACAUUUUAAUAUAUAUAUUUUUUAUGACAUAAAAUUUUUGUGUCAAACAUAGUCAAGUAAUUCAUAGAGCAAAGAAGUGCAUUUUUUUUUUCAUCAUACAUAUAUCACUUGGUAAAUCCAAAUAAACCAAUAAAAACAUGUAAAGUUCUAAUUGAAUACCAAACUUAACAAGAACAAGAAAAAUUUGUUGAAGAAUUGAGUUAGAGGUUGCGCGAAUGGCAAGCCCCAUUAUGACAUAGGCUCAAUCAUUUGGACCGACCUUAAGUAGGCACCCUUCCAAAGUGCAAAGGAAGUUACUAACCUAAGCCAUGGGCCUUAUUGAUUGCCCACUAACCCGUUCAGAUAAGUAUGUUUCUUGUUGCUCUUUCGUAUUCUUAUAUAUCCCAUCCAAAUCCUUCUUUUCCUGUAUAAACCAAUGAGGGACAUUUUGCUUAUAUAAAGUUUAAAUUUCACAACAUUAAUCAACUAAAUUAUAGGAGUAUUAUACUACAUUUAGUCCUCAUGAUGGCUCUUAGAUAAAAAAAAAUUCUUGCUCCCAUAUAAUAAGCUUGAAUUUUGCUCCUAUAUAUCAUUUCCCUCUUGUUAUUUUGGUCCUUUCCAUCAUUAACGAAAAAAAAAUAUUCCUCCACUCUUAAUCAGAUGAUUUGAUCAACCCUGAUCCUACGAUCUUGAUUUAAAGCAUUGAGUAUUCAAGAAAAAUUCUAUAUUAUAGGAAUUUUUUUACCAACCCUCAACAAAGAUUGUUAACAAUAUCAUAAUCAAAAAAGUAUAACAUUAUAAGACCAUAUUAGAAAAGUUGGAACUAGUAUUGUUGGGGUACUCCUAAAGAAGAGAACCCCUCCAAAAAUUGGCGUAUGCCACUAAUUGCAGCGCGCACACGGUAUUCUUUAGUAAAAGGCGAAAGAAUAGUUCGCUUUGUGCUCACUGCGUGGCUGCGUGAGUUUUGAAGACAAUUUGUGCUGCAUUUUUAUAUUGUGACAAAGUUUGUAUUUACUCGUUGUUUAUCGAUGUGGUACUCACCUCACUCACUCCUUUAAAUAAUGCUCUCUGCUUCUUCAAAAUUUUAAGUUUUUCUGUACGUAGACUUUCUCAUUUAAUCAGAAAAUAUGUGUUUCUUAUUUGGCCUUCUAAUUUAUGUUUCUUAGACUCUUCAAAAAAAUGUUAUAUGUUGUCACACUCAUGUCAGAUCUUCUAAAAUGUACUACUUCUCGAGGACAAACUGCAAACAUGCAUCCGAAUGUUAAAUGUUGCCGCAGUCAUGCAAGAUCUUCUAAACUGCACUACUUCUCGAGGACCAACAUGCACCGAGUUUCUAAAAUGCACUACUUCUUGAUGAGGACAAACUGCCAACAUGCACCCGAGUGUUAAAUGUUGUCGUGUCAUGUCAAAUCUUCUAAAAUGCACUACUUCUCAAGGACCAACAUGUAACACAGGACACAACAAAGCUUAUAAUGACAUAUUAGCAUGAGGAACAUUUUAUUUAUCACUGUUUAACAAAAACCAAAUAUAAGUUAACCAAAAGAAGGAAAUUUUAUUUAAGAAUUGGUAGGGGCUGCGCGAACGCAGGCCCCCGCUGCAACAAAUUAUGACGUAGGCUCGACCACUUGGACCGACCUUAGGUAGGCACCCCUCCAAAGUGCAAUGAAGGUCACAAACCUAGGCCAUGGGUCUUAUUGAUCUCCCAUUGACCCCGUCCAGGUAAGUAUGUUUCUUGUUGCUCCUUCCUAUUCUUUUAUAUCCAUCUAGAUCUUUGUUUUUCUUUGUGUCAGCCGAUAAGGGACAUUUUACCCUUGAUUUUUGAUCUUUUCUUUUAUUUAUGGCACCACAUAGACAACAAACAGGAUGAUAGACAUUAUAUUUGAGUGGACAAUAUUGUUGAACUUUUUAUUAGAUAGUGUUUUAAUGAAUUUUUUUUGUUAGUUGGAGAUGUAUAAUAACGUCCAAGGGCGGAGCUACGGGUGACAAUUGGGUGUGUUGGGUCAAAUUUGGAUGGGUCAUAAUGGGUUGAGACAACAAUCGGAUCAAGAUCCAACCCAACACAAUUUUUCUUGGGUCAAAAUGGGUUAGGUCAUGGGUUACAAUAAACAUUACGUUCAAGACCCGACCCAACCCAACCCAAUUUUACUAAGCUUAAUUAUUUUACUUGUUCUUUUAAAUUAUUCUAGUAUCUAAUAAUAAAAAAAAAAUCUUUGUUAUGGUUAUAUAAAAUAUAUCAAAUUGAAAAAAAAGUUUUAAAAAAAUAUUUGAAUAAGAUUUUUCAUGAGUCAAUUCAGGUUACAUAUCAACUCAAUUUUUAAUGGAUUGGAUUGAGCUAAUGAAUAGGCGAAUUAUUUUAAGCGGAUUAAAUGGCCUUGAACGAGUUGAGCUUGAUUUUGCCAUCCCUAAACAGAGCUAGGUUGAAAAAUGCACAAACAGGAAAGAAAUGUUAGAAUGUUGUCGCGCUUAAGUGAGAUGCUCUAAAGUGUACUACUUCUCAAGGACCAACAAAAAAAUGUAGUAAAAUGUUGCCACACUCAUGUUACAUCCAUUAAUCCAAAUAAACCAAUAGAAAAAUGUUCUAGGGUUGAAAUGGACCCUUAGUUAUACACGAAUAGUAAGUAAAGAAGAAAAUUUUGAUAAAGAAUUGGUAGGGGCCGCGCGAACGCAGGCCCCCUCUGCAACAAAUUAUGACGUAGGCUCGACCACUUGGAUCGACCUUAGGUAGGCACCCCUCCAAAGUGCAAUGGAGGUCACAAACCUAGGCCAUGGAUCUAUUGAUCGCCCAUUGACCCCGUCCAGGUAAGUAUGUUUCUCGUUGUUCCUUCCUAAACUUUUAUAACCAUCUUAAUACUUGUUUUCCUUUGUGUCAACCGAUGAGGGAUAUAUUGCCCUUCAUCUUUUUAUCAUUAUCUUUUUUGAUUUAAUAUCAAGCAAAUCUUUAUCAUACUCUUGGGAAAAUUUAACUUUACUGCAAAAGUUUCUCAACUUAUAGGGUGUUUUUGGUAGAGAGGAAAACAGUUUUCAUGAAAAGUAUUUUUUUCUUCUUACCGAAUAGCUCCAUAAUGUUAUUUCUUCUUUUCGUUUUAUUCUUCAUACAACCGUGAUGUCUUUGACCUGUGUGCACUUUGACUAAUUAUAUGUGGUACCAUAUGAUGUUAACUUUAAAAUGUGCACUGGGCAAUCUGACAUCGUCAUUUUUAUUUUUUCUUCUUGUUAUUACCGUGGUGUCUUAUUAUAAAAGAGUGUCACUAUUUUAUAAUAUCAGAAUAUAAACAAAUGUUACUACGAAUAAGAAUACUUGUAGAAAAGGUUAAAAACUAGUAUUGUUGGGGUCCUCUAAAGAAGAGAAUCCCUCCAAAAAUAGGCGUAUGUCACUGAUUGCAGCGUGCACACGGUAUUCUUUAGUAAAAGGCGAAAGAAUAGUUCGCUUUGUGCUCACUGCGUGGCUGCGUGAGUUAUUAAGCUAAUUUGUGCUGCACUUUUAUAUUGGGACAAAGUAUGUAUUUACUCGUUGUUUAUCAAUGUGGUACUCAACUCACUCCUGCUCUCUAUUUUUUUUCCUUCAAGGUGUUCGAUGAAACAUCGCAUAGGAUGUUUUCAACUGAUCAGUUCGGAAAAAAAUAAGAGUUGCGUUUAUUUAUAUUGCAUCUUCUAUGGUUACUUUAAGUAGGUCUUAUCAUCUACGUUGUUUGGACUCUUAUAAAAUAUUGUUGCACCGGACCCAUGUUGGAUCCUCCAAACUCACAAGUCACCUUCUUUUAUAGAGUCCGAGUAACAUAUAUAGUUUUAUAAUGGGAUCGAGUAGUGAAUGGAACCUUGUCUUUCAGAGCUAAGAUUUUAUCACUCCUCAGUAGAAGUCUAUAAAAAAAAAAAUGAAUCAUUGGGUGUCUGUCAAUGUGACGGAAGUAUCAGUAUGUUGUUGGGCUAAAAUAAUACGAAGAUACUCCUAACAUGUGAUAUUGUUAGCUAUGGAUCAAAAGCCACACGAUUUCGAUGAUCUAUUCAUAGACUCGUUAGCUCCACAACUCUAGCAAAUUUGGCAAAGUUGGUUCACCUAUCACAUAAAAUGUCAAAGUUUAAUAAUCAUCACGUUAGAACUAAUACUAAUAGAGACCCGUAGCGUAGUGGUUAUUGAGUGCAGAAGUAUACGGGGAAUGCAAGAUUGAAUCCUUGAGUUACUUUUUAAAAUCGUAGAGAGCCGUUGAAUAUCUAAACUUUAAACGUGAAGUUCCCCACCAUAAUUGUUGGGUUUUAAAGGUGUGAACAGGAAAUGAAGGGUUGUGACUCUCCGGAAGGGUUGUGACCUUUAUGAAAGGUUGUGUCUUUUCUAAAGGGUUGUGAUUGUUUGAAAGGUUGUGCAUUUUCCAAAGGGUUGUGACUUUUCUAAAAGGUUGUCUUUUUUCCAAAAAGUUGUGACUUUUACCCUUUGUUGGCUAUAAAUAGAGAGGCUUUCUCUCAUUUUUCUCCAUCGAAUUCUUCCCUUUCUUGCAUACAUUUCUUACAAAAUAAAAUCGAUCGAUCGUGUCUAUGUGUGUGAUUCAUUGCUAUCAUUUUGAGUUUGUUGAAAUUAUCGAAGUUUCAGGUAUCGCUACUUCUUUAAUGGUUAAUCCAUUUUAUAUUGGGAGGAAUUAAUCUGCAACCUCGGGUACUUGAUGGGAUUAAAUUUCUUAAGGACACACAGUGGGUUCUGUGAACUCGGAUUAGUUCUUUGUUUUUUCCUUUCAUCUUUUAUUAUUUCUGAUUAGGUAAACAGAAUACAAGAGAUAACAAUAACUAACAAGAAGUGAAUGAUAAGACUGGAGAUGGACAAUCUUACCAGUUCCCCACCUGCAUUCGCGCAUCCCCUACCGAGAGACUAAGCAAAUCUGAAACAAGAAAUUAUUGGUUAAGAAUUGGGUAGGGACACGCGAACGCAUGCCCCCACUACAACAAAUUAUGACGUAGGCUCGACCACUUGGGCCGGCCUUAGAUAAGCACCCCUUCAAAGUGCAAUGAAGGUCACAAACCUAGGCCAUGGGUCUUAUUGAUCACCCAUUGACCCCGUCUAGGUAUGUAUGUUUCUUAAUGUUCCUUCCUAUUUUUUUAUAACCAUCUUAAUACUUGUUUUCCUUUGUGUCAACCGAUGAGGGAUAUAUUUGUUGGAAAAAUACUACAAUAUUGAUAUUGGACUAAAAUUAUAAAGUAGUAAAUAACUUAACACAAACACUGUGUCGUGGCAAGCCACUGCCUUGAACACGAUUUCGGCCCGACUCUGGUGCAAAUCGUUGUAGCCGGUCGCUCCCCAAGGUUCCACAGCUACUCUCAAACACGUGCACUCAUGGCUGAAAGUUUGGAGUUGCACAAAAACAAUUGCCCGGAAAUCCACAAUAGGGAGAAUGAUUAUUUAAGCCAAUAAAGAAAUUGGUGAAGGAGAUAGUAAAUGAAAGAAAGGACAUUUGUUUUUUCUUCUCUGUGUUUAGCUCCCAAAUGAUAUCCUUAAAUAGGAAAAUUAUUUACAUUUUCAUCCAUCAAAAGAAUGUAAGAAACUAACGUAUAAUCAAUAUAAUGAAACAUUACUCUUACUUUAAUGACAAAUUUGUUAUAAUACAAAAGUAACUUCAAGUCUUCUCAAUAUUUUCUUACGAAGUUAAGAAAUUGACACUUGAGAUAAAUGUGAACCAUUAAUGUGGAAGUAACUCUCCUAUUUCACAUAUACUAAUGACUUAGCAAUGUUCACAUAGAUUAAUUACGGAGAGCUAAAAGAUGUAACUUAUCCUUUGCAUUAAAAGAAAAGGAAUAUUAUCCACAAUAUUGCCUUUCUUCUUCUUAUUUCUUUUCGUUUUAUUCUUCAUACAACCUUGAUGUCUUUGACCUAAGUACAAUAUAUAUGAUGUUAACUUAAAAGAGUAUCACUAUAUUAUAAUACCAGAAUAUUUGUAAAAUGUUACUUUGUAUAAUAACACAUGUAGGAAAGGUUUAAACUAGUAUUGUUGGGGUCCUCUAAAGAAGAGAAUCCCUCAAAAAAUUGGCGUAUGCCACUAAUUGCAGCGCGCACACGGUAUUCUUUAGUAAAAGGCGAAAGAAUAGUUCGCUUUGUGCUCACUGCAUGGCUGCGUAAGUGCUUAAGCUAACCUGUGCUGCACUUUUAUAUUGGGACAAUGUUAGUAUUUGCUCGUGUUUUAUCAAUGUGGUACUCAACUCACCCCUUCUUUUCCUUCAAGGUCUUCGAUGAAACAUCGCAUAGGGAUUUUUCAACUGAUCAAUUCGAAAAAAAAUAACAGUUGUGUUAGUUUAAAUUGCUUCUUCUAUGGUAUAAUCUACGUUGUUUAGACUCUCCAGAAAUGUUGUUGCACUGAACCCGUGUUGGAUCCUCCAAACGCACAAGUCACCUUUUUUUAUCGAGUAGCGUGUGGAACCUUGCAUCUCAGAGCUAAGAUUUCUCAUCAUUUUUUUAGUCCAUGUAAAUUAGUUAAAAGGAUACAUAUGUUACUGGUUUUCAUGGUCCAACUGAACAGAUUAGUUGUUCAACUAUUAUAUAAAAGUUCAAAGAUCAAAAUAUAUAUCAGCAAUGCUUGGCUACAAAUAAAACAUAAAACAAAACAAAAAUAAGAAAAUUUUGCUUGAGAAUUGGUAGGGGCUGCGCGAACGCAAGCCCCCGCUGCAACAAAUUAUGACGUAGGCUCGACCACUUGGAUCGACCUUAGGUAGGCACCCCUCCAAAGUGCAAUGGAGGUCACAAACCUAGGCCAUGGGUCUUAUUGAUCGCCCAUUGACCCCGUCCAGGUAAGUAUGUUUUUUGUUGUUCCUUCCUAUUUUUUUAUACCCAUCUUAAUACUUAUUUUCCUUUGUGUCAACCGAUGAGGGAUAUAUUGCACUUCAUCUUCUUUUUUUUUCAUUAUUUUUUUCAUUUAAUAGUAAAUAAAUCUUUACCAUUCUCAUGGGCAAAUAAAAAUAAGAUUAAAAAGCCUUGUGAAUUUCAAUAUUGAGUAAAUCAUAACCUUUGGGCUGGCCCAGUAGUUUGGGCUUUGGAACUUCCAUGUUGGAGGUCUCAAGUUUGAAACCCCUUGCCAGUAAAAGCAAGGGGUUUGCCUUCUAGGUCGAGCUCGUCGCACCGGGUUUACCUAGUGCGGAUUACCUAUGUGCACACCCAAAGGAUAGCAGCUGCGGUUUCCCUUGUCAUUAAAAAAAAAGAGUAUUGACUAAAUCAUAUAAUCCAAUUUUGGUGACAAAGUCAAGUGUCUAGUUGUACUGAGAUCAAAGGUGUUGUGUAGAAACUGAUGUUAACAAAAAUCUAUGCUUACUGCAAAAGCUGCUCAACUUUUAUGUGUGUUCCACAUGGACGAAAAUAUUUUUCCUUCAUACCGAACACUUUCAUAAUGUUAUUUCCUUUUUUUCGUCUUUUCAUACAACCGAUCUUGAUGUCUUUUCAACCGUGAUGUGUUUGGCCUAUGUGCACUUCGACUAAUCCGGACCAAAUCAAACGAGGCAAGCAUAAACUAAGUCAGAAAAAGCAGUUUGCAUUUUUUGUUAAGCAGCACAAAUUUUGCUCAUAUAAAAUACUAUAUAUUAUAUUAUUGCAAGACAAGUAUUUAAAAAAUUGAAACUAGAAUUGUUGGGGUCCUCUAAAGAAGAGAACCCCUCCAAAAAUAGGCGUAUGCCACUAAAUGCAGCGCUCACACGGUAUUCUUUAGUAAAAGGCGAAAGAAUAGUUCGCUUUGUGCUCACUGCGUGGCUGCGUGAGCUCUUUAAUUAAUCUGUGCUGCAUUUUUAUAUUGGGACAAAGUUUGUAUAUACUCGUUUUUAAUCAAUGUGGUACUCAUCUCACUUACUCCUUUAUAAUAUUGUUCUCUGCUUCUUUUUCAGUAACUUUAUGAUUGAAAAUCUAACAUGUUUUUCAAAUAGAAACUACUUAAGCUGUCCUGUUGUAUACUUUCUCGAUCAUCUAAUUUAAGAUAUGAUUUCGAUUUGGCUUCUUUGUGAUUAUAAGGAGAUAUAUUUUCACAAGAUGAUUGACAAAAUGUCGCGUAAGGAUGUUUUGGACUGAGCAUCUUGAAUAGCUGAACUCAAAUGCAGGGUAUGUUUUUAAAAAAAGUGUAUAGUGAAGGACCUAAUAGGCAGAAGCAGAAAACAACUGCGUUUUCUGUUGUUUACUUUAAGUUGGCCUUAUAAUCUAUGUUGCUCGUACUCUUUUGUAUAGUAUAUGUUUGAGUAGCUACACGGCAAGCAUCACUCGUCUUUAGAAGAUCUCAGGGCUUCCGUGCUGUUUGGACUUUGGAUCUUUAGAGCUUGACGUGCCCAUCCGAAGGAGCCAUCAUUAUAUCCAAAUGAAAUUGAUUUCGAUAUCACUCAUGACGGCCCUGACAAUUAAAAGAAAGAAUUUCUCAAACUCCAUCAUUAAGAAGGAAUUGAGGGUGUGCUUCUGGUUCUAUAACAUUUGGUCUCAAACAACUCUAUUUUAUCAUAUUUUAAGCAAAGGGGGAGGGAUGAUGUUCUUGAUAGACUCAUUAGUUCCGCAGCUCAAGCAAAUUUCUCAUCAUUUUCAUAUAAAUAGUGAAAGGAUACAAUUUUCAUAGUCCAACUUAACAGAUUAUAUGAAUGAAAAUGUUAGUUAAGUUGUUCAUCCUUAACACAUAAAACUAUAGAUAAAAUUUCAUCAGCUGACCACAAGAAAAAAAUUGCUUGAGAAUUGGGUAGGGGCCGCGCGAACGCAGGCCCCCACUGCAACAAAUUAUGACGUAGGCUCGACCACUUGGGCCGACCUUAGGUAGGCACCCCUCCAAAGUGCAAUGAAGGUCACAAACCUAGGCCAUGGGUCUUAUUGAUCGCCCAUUGACCCCAUCCAGGUACGUAUGUUUCUUGUUGUUCCUUCCUAAACUUUUAUAACCAUCUUAAUACUUGUGUUGUGAAAUAUUAGCAAUAUGAAAUAAUAUCAGACAAUAAAUAUAUAGACAAGAUAUAUGGGAGAUAAUGCUUUCUUGUUUCUUUCUUAUUACUUUUCCAUUGUCUUCUUGUUGGACAUGAGCUGAAUCUCGCCAAUANNNNNNNNNNNNNNNNNNNNNNNNNNNNNNNNNNNNNNNNNNNNNNNNNNNNNNNNNNNNNNNNNNNNNNNNNNNNNNNNNNNNNNNNNNNNNNNNNNNNUAGUUCGCUUUGUGCUCACUGCGUGGCUGCGUGAGCUCUUUAAUUAAUCUGUGCUGCAUUUUUAUAUUGGGACAAAGUUUGUAUAUACUCGUUUUUAAUCAAUGUGGUACUCAUCUCACUUACUCCUUUAUAAUAUUGUUCUCUGCUUCUUUUUCAGUAACUUUAUGAUUGAAAAUCUAACAUGUUUUUCAAAUAGAAACUACUUAAGCUGUCCUGUUGUAUACUUUCUCGAUCAUCUAAUUUAAGAUAUGAUUUCGAUUUGGCUUCUUUGUGAUUAUAAGGAGAUAUAUUUUCACAAGAUGAUUGACAAAAUGUCGCGUAAGGAUGUUUUGGACUGAGCAUCUUGAAUAGCUGAACUCAAAUGCAGGGUAUGUUUUUAAAAAAAGUGUAUAGUGAAGGACCUAAUAGGCAGAAGCAGAAAACAACUGCGUUUUCUGUUGUUUACUUUAAGUUGGCCUUAUAAUCUAUGUUGCUCGUACUCUUUUGUAUAGUAUAUGUUUGAGUAGCUACACGGCAAGCAUCACUCGUCUUUAGAAGAUCUCAGGGCUUCCGUGCUGUUUGGACUUUGGAUCUUUAGAGCUUGACGUGCCCAUCCGAAGGAGCCAUCAUUAUAUCCAAAUGAAAUUGAUUUCGAUAUCACUCAUGAUGGCCCUGACAAUUAAAAGAAAGAAUUUCUCAAACUCCAUCAUUAAGAAGGAAUUGAGGGUGUGCUUCUGGUUCUAUAACAUUUGGUCUCAAACAACUCUAUUUUAUCAUAUUUUAAGCAAAGGGGGAGGGAUGAUGUUCUUGAUAGACUCAUUAGUUCCGCAGCUCAGGCAAAUUUCUCAUCAUUUUCGUGUAAAUAGUGAAAGGAUACAAUUUUCAUAGUCCAACAUAACAGAAUAUAUGAAUGAAACAUGUUAGUUAAGUUGUUCAUCAUUAACACAUAAAACUAUAGAUAAAAUUUCAUCAGCUCACCACAAGAAAAAAUUUGCUUGAGAAUUGGGUAGGGGCCGCGCGAACGCAGGCCCCCGCUGCAACAAAUUAUGACGUAGGCUCGACCACUUGGGUCGACCUUAGGUAGGCACCCCGCCAAAGUGCAAUGGAGGUCACAAACCUAGGCCAUGGGUCUUAUUGAUCACCCAUUGACCCAGUCCAGGUAAGUAUGUUUCUUGUUGUUCCUUCCUAAACUUUUAUAACCAUCUUAGUACUUGUUUUCCUUUGUGUCAACCGAUGAGGGAUAUAUUACCCUUGAUCUUUUUUUCUUUUCUUUUUUCAUUUAAUAGCAAACCAAAUAGACAACAAACAAAUCUUUAUCAUACUCUUGGGAAAAAAUUAAAAUUAAAAUUUCUUCUGAAUUCUAGUAUGAGGAAAACAUUUUUCCUUCUUACCGAACAGCUCCAUAAUGUUAUUUCCUUUUUCGUUUUAUUCUUCAUACAACCGUGAUGUCUUUGACCUGUGUGCACCGACUAAUUCUAUGAGGUACCAUAUGAUUUUAACAGAAAUGCUAACUUAAGAUAUGCACAGGGCAAUCUGAUAUUCAUCCCUUUCGUUUUUUUCCUUGUUAUUACCGUGGUGUCUUGACACAUUUAUGUGCACUUCAACUAAUUAUAUGCUCGGACAAAGUCAAUGUGUAGCUUACAGGUUCAGCGAAACGCAGUAGCUUUAGUCUAAAUUCUCUAUGUUUGCAUUUUUUUGUUUCACAACUAGAAUUUGCUCCUCCAUAUCAUUUCCCUCUUGUCCGUCCUCCGCCCUUAAUCAGAAAUUUCUAUUUGAAGGAUGUUUAAUAAAAUGGAACACUGAUUGAAAAACUCUCAUUGAAUUAGUAACCGAGUCAAUUUUUAUCUACCCUUCACAAAUAUUGGUCCCUAUAUUAUAAAAACAGAAUAUAAACAAAGACUAUGAAUAAGAAUACGUGUAUUGGUUAAAACUAGCAUUGUUGGGGUCCUCUAAAGAAGAGAAUCCCUCCAAAAAUUGGCAUAUGCCACUGACUACAGCGCACACACGGUAUUCUUUAGUAAAAGGCGAAAGAAUAGUUCGCUUUGUGCUCACUGCGUGGCUGCGUGAAAUCUUGAGUCAAUCUGUGCUUACAUUUUAUAUUGGGACAAAGUUUGUAUUUAGUCAUGUUUUAUCAAUGUGGUAGUCAACUCACUCCUUCUCUCUGCUUCUUUUCCUUCAAGGUGUUCGAUGAAACAUCGCAUAGGGUUCAACCAAUUCGGAAAAAGUAAUAGUUAUGUUUGUUUAAAUUGCUUCUUCUAUGGUAUAAUCUACGUUGUUUAGACUCUCCAAAAAUGUUGUUGCAACGGACCCGUGUUGGAUCCUCCAAACGCACAAGUCACCUUUUUUUAUCAAGUAGCGUAUGGAACCUUGCAUCUCAGAGCUAAGAUUUCUCAUCAUUGUUUUAGUCCAUGUAAAUUAGUUAAAAGGAUACAUAUGUUACUGGUUUUCAUGGUCCAACUGAACAGAUUAUUUGUUCAACUAUUAAAUAAAAGUUCAAAAUAUAUAUCAGCAAUGGUUGGCUACAAAUAACACAUAAAACAAAACAAAAGUAAGAAAUUUUUGCUUAAGAAUUGGUAGGGGCUGCGCGAACGCAAGCCCCCGCUGCAACAAAUUAUGACGUAGGCUCGACCACUUGGGCCGACCUUAGGUAGGCACCCCUCCAAAGUGCAAUGAAGGUCACAAAUCUAGGCCAUGGGUCUUAUUGAUCGACCAUUGACCCCGUCCAGGUAAGUAUGUUUCUUGUUGCUCCUUCCUAUUCUUUUAUAUCCAUCUAGAUCUUUGUUUUUCUUUGUGUCAGCCGAUAAGGGACAUUUUACCCUUGAUUUUUGAUCUUUUCUUUUAUUUAUGGCACCACAUAGACAACAAACAGGAUGAUAGACAUUAUAUUUGAGUGGACAAUAUUAUUGAACUUUUUAUUAGAUAGUGUUUUAAUGAAUUUUUUUUGUUAGUUAGAGAUGUAUAAUAACGUCCCAGGGGGGAGCUAGGGGUGGCAAUUGGGUGUGUUGAGUCAAAUUUGGACGGGUCAUAAUGGGUUGAGAUAACCACCCCUAAGCAGAGCUAGGUUGAAAAAUUCAAAAUGCACAAAUAGGAAAGAAUGGUUUUUUUUUUUGUUAUACGUAAACUAUUGAAAGAUUUCCUUAGUCACAUACUCAAGUUCCAUACAUGACCUUUAGUGAUUUUCACAAUUUUUAAGUCCAAAAUUUUGAAAAUUAUUCUCUUACUCCGAGUUUGAACUUAGCUCUUCUCCAUUAAUAAUAAGCGUACGUGUUAACUUGACCUUAGCUAACAUCUAUGUCCUCCAACUUCGUAUCUAUACAAAUAGGCACUUAAAGUUGUAUAAGAUUGAACAAAUAGACAUAUACGUCUUAUAUGGCGUUCUAAAUGGAAAUUUGUAUAUUACGUGACGUCCAACAUGUAUUAUGUUAUGUAACACACCUAAAACAAAGUUAAAGAGCACAUUUGUGUAUUAUGUCUUUAAUUUUCCCUUGCCAUUUUGCAAAUCAAAGGUAUUAGAAGGACAUACAUAAAUAAAAUGUAUACGAAGGACAAACAUAAAAAGUGUUGAACAAAUACAUGAAAAUUUGUAUCUUACGUGGCGUCAAAUAUAUAUUAGGUUAUGUAGAUCAAGUUAAAGGCACAUUUAUGUAUUACUGACUUUCAAUCUUCUCUUGCCAUUUUGUAAUAACACAGCUAUAAGAAGGACAAACGUAAAAAAAUGUUGAACUAGAAUUGUUGGGGUAAUCUAAAGAAGAGAACCCCUCCAAAAAUUGGCGUAUGCCACUAAUUGCAGCGCGCACACGGUAUUCUUUAGUAAAAGGCGAAAGAAUAGUUCGCUUUGUGCUCACUGCGUGGCUGCGUAAGGUCUUCAGCUAAGCUGUGCUGCAUUUUUAUUGGGACAAAGUUUGUAUUUAAUUGUGUUUUAUCAAUGUGGUACUCACAAGUCAGUCCUUCAAUAUCUAUAGAAACGACUUAAAUUCGUCCUUUAUACUUUCUCGUAUGAUUAAAAUAUUAAUAGUUGAAUUCCGAUAGUGGUGGAGUCAGGAUUUUCGUGUAUCGUAUCAUAUAAAAGUAGGAGAUAUUGAAUGGAUUGAAAUCUGAGAUUGAUCUUCUCAAUUGAUCACAAAUAGCAGAAACUUUUCAAACGUUUUUAGGCAUUAAAAUGCAACUUCCUAUGACCCUGAAUCCACGUUAUCAAUGCAUCUCAGACCGGCCAAAAGGCGUUGAUUCACCCCGUUUCUAAUAAUUGGGAAGAUGUUCUCUUGAUGGCGCGGACACUCGCCAUCAAAGAGAGUUUGUGCGGUCUAUAUUGUUAGUUUUAGACCGCUGAUUUAUGCAAAUGUCCAUUUUUAGGCAAUCAUUUAGAUUUUGUCCCUCUUUUUUACAAUUGUGCAAAUGAAAAUUACCCUUUUUGAUAACCUUAGACUUUGUUCUAAUGUGUGGUCGUAUAUUGUUCAACCUUACAGACAUAACAUAAGUUUGUUUUCGCAAAAGGGGAUCUUGAAACCAAGGUAUGGAAGAUUCAUAAGUAAGAGUAGAAAUAAAAAGAUGAAACAUUUACUACUCUAAACAAUUGGUUCAAAACGAAACAACGAGAGAAUAUUAAGUAACCAAAAACAACAAAAUUUGGAUACAAACCCCCCACAAAUUAUGAUUUAUGAUGUAGGCUCGACCACUUGCCCAUAGAUGGACAUCCACCUGUCCAAAGUGCAAUGGAGGUCACCAACGACAAAUUAUGAUAUAGGCUUGACCCCUUGGACCAAACUAUGAUAUAGGCUAGUCCAAAGUGCAAUGGAGGUCACUCGAUCCUUUGAACCAACCUUUCGACAAAUUAUGAAAUAGACUCGACCACUUGGACCAACCUUCUAUGUACAUCCACCCCUCCAAGUAAAUAUUGCAACUUGAACUUAGCUCAUAUUUCCUCUGUCCCUAAUUACUUGUCUACUUUUCCUCUUUUAUUUGUCCCUAAUUACUUGUCCAUUUUGACAAAUCAAGAAAGAACAAUUUUUUUUUACCUAUUAUAUUUGCAAUUAAUUACUUUGGAAAAGGUAGAACUUGUUGAAAAUCUUAAGUUUUUAAUUCAUCCACUUCAUAAUUAAUAGGGAUAAAAUGGUAAACUCACUACGUCAAUAAAUAUUUUCUUAAUAAGUGUGUAAAUUCAAAAGUAGACAAGUAAUUAGGAACAAACGAAGUAAAAAAAUACUAAAAACCAUAACUAUAUAUGUGCAUGUGGAAUAAAAAAAUUGAAUUUAGAAUUGUUGGGGUCCUCUAAAGAAGAGAAUCACUCAAAAAAUUGGCGUAUGCAACUAAUUGUAGCGCGCACACGGUAUUCUUUAGUAAAAGGCGAAAGAAUAGUUCGCUAUGUGCUCACUGCAUGGCUGCGUGAGUUCUUCAUCUCAUUUGUGCUUCCAUUUUAUAUUUACUCAUCGUUUAUCGAUUUUGGGUCAAGCUCCCGCGCGAUUGUCUUGGAAAUUUGAACUGGCCUGGUAUUGAUAUUGUUCGCUUUGGUAUGAUCUUUUCCAAAAUAUACUCUUAACAUAAUGCAUUGUCAUAUUUAUCCGAAGAAUAAAGUUUACUAUAUCGUCGUUUGAGCUGGUAAGAUUGUCCAUCUCCAGUCAUAUCAUUCACUUCAUGUUAGUUAUGGUGGGAAACUUCAUGUUUAAAGUUCAGCUAUCACUACAUGCUCAAACUUUGGAUAGUAAAUUACACUCAAUUGCAAGAGACCUGUAAGUUUUGUGCAUACAAUUGCCACUAUAUACGAGUCUCCAUUGGUAUUGGUUCUAAAGUAUUAACCUAUAUAUAUAGGUCUGCCCAUGAGAGACAAAGUAAAUACAAAACAAGAAAAUUUUGCUUAAGAAUUGGUAGGGGCUGCGCGAACGCAAGCCCCCGCUGCAACAAAUUAUGACGUAGGCUCGACCACUUGGAUCGACCUUAGGUAGGCACCCCUCCAAAGUGCAAUGGAGGUCACAAACCUAGGCCAUGGAUCUUAUUGAUCGCCCAUUGACCCCGUCCAGGUAAGUAUGUUUCUCGUUGUUCCUUCCUAAAACUUUUAUAACCAUCUUAAUACUUGAUUUCCUUUGUGUCAACCGAUGAGGGAUAUAUUGCCCUUCAUCUUUUUAUUAUUAUUUUGUUUCAUUUAAUAUCAAACAAAUCUUUAUCAUACUCUUGGGAAAAUUUAACUUUACUGCAAAAGUUUCUCAACUUAUAGGGUGUUUUUGGUAGAGAGGAAAACAUUUUUCAUGAAAAGUAUUUUUUUUCUUCUUACCGAAUAGCUCCAUAAUGUUAUUUCUUCUUUUCAUUUUAUUCUUCAUUGUGUGCACUUUGACUAAUUCUAUGAGGUACCAUAUGAUGUUAACUUAAAAAUGUGCACUGGGCAAUCUGAUAUCGUCCUUUUUGUUUUUUUCUUCUUGUUAUUACCGUGGUGUCAUGAGACAUUUGUGUGCAUUUCAACUAAUUCUGUGCUCAGGCAAAGUCAAUGUGUAGCUUACGGGUUCAGCCAAACGCAGUUGCUUUAGUCUAAAUGCUCUAUUUGUUGAGAGACUUAUUGCAUGUGUUCAUAUUAUUAAUUGAGAAGCCGGUUUGUUUUUUCUGUUUCACAACUAGAAUUUGAUCCUCUAUAUCAUUUCCCUAUUCUCUGCCCUCCACACUUAAUCAAAAAUCUCGAAAUACACAAAUUUUUAUCUACCCUUCAUAAAGAGUGUCACUAUUUUAUAAUAUCUGAAUAUAAACAAAUGUUACUACGAAUAAGAAUACUUGUAGAAAAGGUUAAGAACUAGUAUUGUUAGGGUCCUCUAAAGAAGAGAAUCCCUCCAAAAAUAGGCGUAUGCCACUGAUUGCAGUGUGCACACGGUAUUCUUUAGUAAAAGGCGAAAGAAUAGUUCGCUUUGUGCUCACUGCGUGGCUGCGUGAGUUAUUAAGCUAAUUUGUGCUGCACUUUUAUAUUGGGACAAAGUAUGUAUUUACUCGUUGUUUAUCAAUGUGGUACUCAACUCACUCCUGCUCUCUAUUUUUUUUCCUUCAAGGUGUUCGAUGAAACAUCGCAUAGGAUGUUUUCAACUGAUCAGUUCGGAAAAAAAUAAGAGUUGCGUUUAUUUAUAUUGCAUCUUCUAUGGUUACUUUAAGUAGGUCUUAUCAUCUACGUUGUUUGGACUCUUAUAAAAUAUUGUUGCACCGGACCCAUGUUGGAUCCUCCAAACUCACAAGUCACCUUCUUUUAUAGAGUCCGAGUAACAUAUAUAGUUUUAUAAUGGGAUCGAGUAGCGAAUGGAACCUUGUCUUUUAGAGCUAAGAUUUUAUCACUCCUCAGAAGAAGUCUAUAAAAAAAAUAAAAAUGAAUCAUUGGGUGUCUGUCAAUGUGACGGAAGUAUCAGUAUGUUGUUGGGCUAAAAUAAUACGAAGAUACUCCUAACAUGCUGUGAUAUUGUUAGCUAUGGAUCAAAAGCCACACGAUUUCGAUGAUCUAUUCAUAGACUCGUUAGCUCCACGACUCUAGCAAAUUUGGCAAAGUUGGUUCACCUAACACAUAAAAGGUCAAAGUUUAAAAAUCAUCAUGUUAGAACUAAUACUAAUAGAGACCCGCAGCAUAGUGGUUAUUGAGUGCAGAAGUAUACGGGGCAUGCAAGAUUGAAUCCUUGAGUUACUUUUUAAAACGUAGAGAGCCGUUGAAUAUCUGAACUUUAAACGUGAAGUUCCCCACCAUAAUUGUUGGGUUUUAAAGGUGUGAACAGGAAAUGAAGGGUUGUGACUCUCCUGAAUGGGUUGUGACUUUGUCGAAGAGUUAUGAUCUUUAUGAAAGGUUGUCUUUUCUAAAAAGUUGUGACCGUUUGAAAGGUUGUGCAUUUUCCAAAGGGUUUUGACUUUUCUAAAAGGUUGUCUUUUUUCCAAAAAGUUGUGACUUUUACCCUUUGUUGGCUAUAAAUAGAGAGGCUUUCUCUCAUUUUUCUCCAUCGAAUUCUUCCCUUUCUUGCAUACAUUUCUUACAAAAUAAAAUCGAUCGAUCGUGUCUAUGUGUGUGAUUCAUUGCUAUCAUUUUGAGUUUGUUGAAAUUAUCGAAGUUUCAGGUAUCGCUACUUCUUUAAUGGUUAAUCCAUUUUAUAUUGGGAGGAAUUAAUCUGCAACCUCGGGUACUUGAGGGGAUUAAAUUUCUUAAGGACACACAGUGGGUUCUGUGGACUCGGAUAGUUCUUUGUGUUUUUCUUUUCAUCUUUUAUUAUUUCUGGUUUGCUAAUCUAAAUACAGGAGANNNNNNNNNNNNNNNNNNNNNNNNNNNNNNNNNNNNNNNNNNNNNNNNNNNNNNNNNNNNNNNNNNNNNNNNNNNNNNNNNNNNNNNNNNNNNNNNNNNNNNNNNNNNNNNNNNNNNNNNNNNNNNNNNNNNNNNNNNNNNNNNNNNNNNNNNNNNNNNNNNNNNNNNNNNNNNNNNNNACCGCUACUUCUUUAAUGGUUAAUCCGUUUUAUCUUGGGAGGACUUAAUCUGCAAGAUCGGGUACUUGAGGGGAUUAAAUUUCUUAAGGACACAAAGUGGGUUCUGUGGACUCGGAUUACUUCUUUGCUUUUUCCUUUCAUAUUUUAUUAUUUCUGAUUAGGUAAUCUGAAUACAAGAGAUAACAAUAACUAACAAGAAAUGAAUGAUAAGACUGGAGAUGGACAAUCUUACCAGUUCCCCACCUACAUUCGCGCAGCCCCUACCCGAGAGACUAAGAAGAUCUGAAACAAGAAAUUUUUGCUUAAGAAUUGGGUAGGGCCACGCGAACGCAUGCCCCCACAGCAACAAAUUAUGACGUAGUCUCGACCACUUGGGCCGACCUUAGAUAAGCACCCCUUCAAAGUGCAAUGAAGGUCACAAACCUAGGCCAUGGGUCUUAUUGAUCACCCAUUGACCCCGUCCAGGUAUGUAUGUUUCUUAAUGUUCCUUCCUAUUUUUUUAUAACCAUCUUAAUACUUGUUUUCCUUUAUGUCAACCGAUGAGGGAUAUAUUUGUUGGGAGAAAUACUACAAUAUUGAUAUUGGACUAAAAUUAUAAAGUAGUGAAUAACUUAACACAAACACUGUGUCGUGGCAACCCACUGCCUUGAAAGCGAUUUCGGCCAGACUCCGGUGCAAAUCGUUGUAGCCGGUCGCUCCCCAAGGUUCCACAGUUACUCUCAAACACGUGCAUUUGUGGCUGAAAGUUUGGAGUUGCACAAAAACAAUUACCCGGGAAUCCACAAUAGGGAGAAUGAUUAUUUAAACCAAUAAAGAAAUUGGUGAAGGAGAUAGUAAAUGAAAGAAAGGAUACUUGUUUUUUCUUCUCUGUGUUUAGCUCCCAAAUGAUAUCUUUAAAUAGGAAAAUUAUUUACGUUUUCAUCCAUCAAAAGAAUGUAAGAAACUAACGUAUAAUCAAUGUAAUGAAACAUUACUCUUACUUUAAUGACAAAUUUGUUAUAAUACAAAAGUAACUUCAAGUCUUCUAAAUAUUUUCUUACGAAGUUAAGAAACUGACACUUGAGAUAAAUAUGAACUAUUAAUGUGGAAGUAACUCUCCUAUUUCACAUAUAUAUACUAACGACUUAGCAAUGUUCACAUAGAUUAAUUACGGAGAGCUAAAAGAUGUAACUUAUCAUUUGCAUUAAAAGAAAAGGAAUAUCACCCACAAUAUUGCCUUUCAUCUACUUCUUAUUAUUUUUUGUUUCAUUUAAUAUAAAACAAAUCUUUAUUAUACUCUUGGGAAAAUUAAACUUACUGCAAAAGUUUCUCAACUUAUAGGGUGUUUUUGGUAUAGAGGAAGAUAUUUUUCAUGAAAAGUAUUUUUCCUUCUUACCGAACAACUCCAUAAUGUUAUUUCUUCUUUUCAUUUUAUUCUUCAUACAAUCGUGAUGUCUGAUGGGAGAAUAAAAUGAGAAAGUUUAGAUAAGUUUUAAUGUCGCAAUUAUUGGUCUAUUUUUCAUGUAUAUAGGGUGGUCAACUCAAGUGUUGAACAUGAUUAGUAAAAAAUGGGCAACUAGAAGAUCAAAGAAAGAAAAAAAAGAGCAGAAGUUGAGUAGCCGCUUUUCCGCGGGCCCAGCGGCGCGCCCGCGUGAAACCCAAGUUGUUUAUUGGCUCUCUGUGCGCCAGUCACGCGUCCAAGCACCUGCGCAGCGUGCCUGCAUGGAGUUGAGGCAUGAAAUCAUUAAAAGUAAGGAUGUUUUUGGAAUUUCGGAGGAAUCCCUAUGCUAUAUUGUGUUGGAGCUGGUCCCAAGGAAAAUGAUCGAGAAAAAGAGCAAAAAGAAAGGUUAAGUUACGAAGAAGAGGAGGUGGAACACACGGUACACUACUCGAAUCCUAAACGGAAUUUGGGAUUCAAAGUUUGAUUGCUAUGUCUUCUUUUUCAUCUUUGUUCUUAGUAAACUUAUUCUCCUCCAUGGAGUAGAUUCUUAGAGGGUAUUCGACAAACAUGUUGUAUUGAUGAAUUUGUUGGGAUUUUGAUUUUUCAUUCUUAUGCUUGAACUUGUUAUGGAAGUUUGAAUUGAAUUGCAACCUUAUUCAUUAUUUUAUUUAAUUGAAAGAGGGAUAUCUUGGUGAAUAUUGUUGCAUAGUUUUGUUGGAUUGAAUCAAUAUAUUUUCUCUAAAGUAAUCGAAGGAGCUUGUUGACAAUUAUUGAUUAAAUCUCAAGGAAAAAUAGUUGAAGGACGUUACUUCCUUAAGAACACUCAUUAACAUGUUCUUGCAUAUUAGAAUCACAAGUUUAUAAUUGGUUUAUUCUUUACUUGAGAUUUACUCGGAAGAAAAAUCUAAGGCUUAAGGUUACUCUAAUAAUCUAUCGAAUUCGAGAGAAUCGAUAGAACUUUAGAUGUGAUAAAUGAAUGUGGUCAGAUCCCAACUAUCAUUAUGCACUUGUUUCGUCUUGUACCCUAUCUUUUAUUAUUGAUAUUAAACUUCAUAGUUACCAAUUGUUUUUAAUCAUCAUUUAGUCUAUAAAUGUGGUCAUAACCACAACCAACUCUGUUAUUUUGAUCACCUGAAUAAUAGUUAGAAAGAUUUGAUUGAAUUAUUAUUUGUACCAAUCCAUGUGGAGACGAUCUUUAUACUAUACUAUCUUUGACUAGCGAAGCGCUAAACUUAUAGUGUGUUUGUGCUUGUCAAUGUCUUCGACCUGUGUGCACUUUGACUAAUUCUAUGAGGUACCAUAUGAUGUUAACUUAAAAAUGUGCACUGGGCAAUCUGACAUCGUCCUUUUCGUUUUUUUCUUGUUAUUACCGUGGUGUCUUGAGACAUUUGUGUGCAUUUCAACUAAUUCUAUUCUCGGGCAAAGUCAAUGUGUAGCUUACGGGUUCAGCCAAACGCAGUAGCUUUAGUCUAAAUUCUCUAUGUGUUGAGAGAUUUAUUGCAUGUGUAGCUUUAGUCUAAAUUCUCAAUUUGUUGAGAGAUUUAUUGGAUGUGUUCAUAUUAUUAAUUGAGAAGCCUUUUUGCACCCUUAAUCAGAAAUCUCGAAAUACACAAAUUUUUAUCUACCCUUCAUAAAGAGUCACUAUAUUAUAAUAUCAGAAUAUCAAAAUUGUUGCUAAGUAUAAGAACACGUGUAGAAAAGGUUGAAAACUAGCAUUGUUGGGGUCCUCUAAAGAAGAGAAUCCCUCCAAAAAUUGGUGUAUGCCACUAAUUGCAGCGCGCACACGAUAUUCUUUAGUAAAAGGCGAAAGAAUAGUUCGCUUUGUGCUCACUGCGUGGCUGCGUGAGUUAUCAAACAAAUCUGUGCUGCAUUUUUAUAUUUGGACAAAAGUUUGUAUAUACUGGUUUUUUAUCAGUGUGGUACUCAACUCACUCCUUCUCUCUGCUUCUUUUCCUUCAAGGUGUUCGAUGAAAUAUCGCAUAGGGUGUUUUCAACUGAUCAAUUCGAAAAAAAAUAACAGUUGUGUUAGUUUAAAUUGCUUUUUCUAUGGUAUAAUCUAAGUUGUUUAGACUCUCCAAAAAUGUUGUGCACCGGACCCGUGUUGGAUCCUCCAAACGCACAAGUCACCUUUUUUUAUCGAGUUGCGUAUGGAACAUUGUAUCUCAGAGCUAAGAUUUUAUCACUCCUUAGAAGAAGUCCAUGAAGAGUCUAUAAAAACAAAAAAGUAUUUAUUUUUUACAUCAAUAUCAGAGUAUGUUAUUGGGCUAAAACAAUCCGUAGAUACUCUUAACAUGUUGUGAUUUUGUCCACUAGACUCAUUAGUUCCGUAGCUCGGGAAAAUUUCUCAUCAUUUUUUCUGUCCCUGUAAAUAGUUAAAAGGAUACAAUUAUAUGUUACUGGUUUCAUGGUCCAACUGAACAAAUUAUUUGUUCGACUAUAACAUAAAAGUUCAAAGAUAAAAUAACACAAAACAAAAACAAGGAAAUUUUGCUUAAGAAUUGGUAGGGGCUGCGCGAACGCAAGCCCCCGCUGCAACAAAUUAUGACGUAGGCUCGACCACUUGGGUCGACCUUAGGUAGGCACCCCUCCAAAGUGCAAUGGAGGUCACAAACCUAGGCCAUGGGUCUUAUUGAUCGCCCAUUGACCCCGUCCAGGUAAGUAUGUUACUUGUUGUUCCUUCCUAUUGUUUUAUAACCAUCUUAAUACUUGUUUUCCUUUGUGUCAACCGAUGAGGGAUAUAUUAGCCCUUCAUCUUUUUAUUAGAGUAUUAUUUUUUGUUUCAUUUAAUAUCAAACAAAUCUUUAUAUUUCAUACUCUUGGGAAAAUUAAACUUACUGCAAAAGUUUCUCAACUUAUUGGGUAUUUUUUGGUGCAGAGGAAAAUAUUUUUCAUGAAAAGUAUUUUUCCUUCUUACCGAACAGCUCCAUAAUGUUAUUUCUUCUUUUCAUUUCACUCUUCAUACAACCGUGAUGUCUUUGACCUGUGUGCAUUUCGACUAAUUUUAUGAGGUACCAUAUGAUGUUAACUUAAAAUGUGCAAUGGGCAAUCUGAUAUCAUCCUUUUCGUUUUUUUCUUCUUGUUAUUACCGUGGUGUCUUGAGACAUUUGUGUGCAUUUCAACUAAUUCUAUGCUCGGGCAAAGUCAAUGUGUAGCUUAAAGAUUCAGCCAAACGCAGUAGCUGUAGUCUAAAUUUUCUAUCCGUUGAGAGAUUUAUUACAUGUGCUCAAAUAUUUUUCAUUUCCCUCUUGUCUGUCCUUCCAGAAGAUAUAAUAUAUAUUCCUCCACCCUUAAUCAGAAAUCUCGAAAUACACAAAUUUUUAUCUACCCCUCAUAAAGAGUGUAACUAUAUUAUAAUAUCAGAAUAUCAAAAAUGUUACCAUGUAGAAAAGGUUAAAAACUAGCAUUGUUGGGGUCCUCUAAAGAAGAGAAUCCCUCCAAAAAUUGGCGUAUGCCACUAAUUGCAGCGCACACACGGUAUUCUUUAGUAAAAGGCGAAAGAAUAGUUCGCUUUGUGCUCACUGCGUGACUGCGUGAGUUAUCAAACAAAUCUGUGCUGCAUUUUUAUAUUGGGACAAAAGUUUGUAUAUACUGGUUUUUUAUCAAUGUGGUACUCAACUCACUCCUUCUCUCUGCUUCUUUUCCUUCAAGGUUUUCGAUGAAACAUCGCAUAGGGUGUUUUCAACUGAUCAAUUCGGAAAAAAAUAACAGUUGUGUUCGUUUAAAUUGCAUCUUCUAUGGUAUAAUCUACGUUGUUCAGACUCUCCAAAAAUGUUGAUGCACUGGACCCGUGUUGGAUCCUCCAAAUGCACAAGUCACCUUUUUUUAUUGAGUGGCGUAUGGAACAUUGUAUCUCAAAGCUAAGAUUUUAUCACUCCUUAGAAGAAGUCCAUGAAGAAUCUGUAAAUCACUGACGGAAGUAUCAGUAUGUUAUUGGGCUAAAACCAUCCGAAGAAACUCUUUAACAUGUUGUGAUAUUGUUCGCUAGACUCUUUAGUUCCGUAGCUCGAGAAAAUUUCUCAUCAUUUUUUGUGUCCAUGUAAAUAGUUAAGGAUACAAUUAUAUGUGCUACUGGUUUUCAUGGUCCUACUUAACAUAUAAUAUGUUCACCUAUAACAUAAAAGUUCAAAGAUAUAACACAAAACAUAACAAAAACAAGAAACAUUUGCAUGAGAAUUGGAAGGGGCUGCGCGAACGCAAGCCCCCGCUGCAACAAAUUAUGACGUAGGCUCGACCACUUGGAUCGACCUUAGGUAGGCACCCCUCCAAAGUGCAAUGGAGGUCACAAACCUAGGCCAUGGGUCUUAUUGAUCGCCCAUUGACCCCGUCCAGGUAAGUAUGUUACUUGUUGUUCCUUCCUAUUCUUUUAUAACCAUCUUAACACUUGUUUUCCUUUGUGUCAACCGAUGAGGGAUAUAUUAGCCCUUCAUCUUUUUAUUAGAGUAUUAUUUUUUGUUUAAUUUAAUAUCAAACAAAUCUUUAUUUUUCAUACUCUUGGGAAAAUUAAUCUUACUGCAAAAAUUUCUCAACUUAUAGGGUGUUUUUGGUGUAGAGGAAAAUAUUUUUAUUGAAAAGUAUUUUUCCUUCUUACCGAACAGCUCCAUAAUGUUUCUUCUUUUCGUUUUAUUCUUCAUACAAUCAUGAUGUCUUUGACCUAUGUGCACUUCGACUAAUUCUAUGAGGUACCAUAUGAUGUUAACUUAAAAUGUGCAAUGGGCAAUCUGCUAUCGUCCUUUUUGUUUUUUUUUUCUUGUUAUUACCGUGUGGUGUCUUGAGAGAUUUGUGUGCAUUUCAACUAAUUCUAUGCUCGGGAAAAGUCAAUGUGUAGCUUACGGGUUCGGUCAAACACAGUAGCUUUAGUCUAAAUUCUAUAUGUGUUGAGAGAUUUAUUGCAUGUAUUCAAAUAAUAAUUGAGAACCCUGUUUGCAUUUUUUUUGUUUCACAACUAAAAUUUGCUCCUCUAUAUCAUUUCCCUCUUGUCUCUCCUUCCACCCUUAAUCAGAAAUCUCAAAAUACGUAAUAAUAUAAUAUCAGAAUAUAAACAAAUGUUACUAUGAAUAAGAACACACAUAGAAAAGGUUAAAAACUAGCAUUGUUGGGAUCCUCUAAAGAAGAAAAUCCCUCCAAAAAUUGGCGUAUGCCACUAAUUGCAGCGCUCACACGGUAUUCUUUAGUAAAAGGCGAAAGAAUAGUUCGCUUUGUGCUCACUGCGUGGCUGCGUAAGUUCUUUCGCUUAUCUGUGCUGCAUUUUUAUAUUGGGACAAAGUUAGUAUUUAAUCGUUGUUUAUCAAUGUGGUACUCACCUCACUCACUCCUUUAUAAUAUUGUUCUCUGCUUCUUUUUCAGUAACUUUAUGAUUGAAAAUCUAACAUGUUUUUCAAAUAGAAACUUCUUAAGCUGUCGUGUUGUAUACUUUCUCGAUCAACUAAUUUAAGAUAUGAUUACGCUUUGGUAUCUUUGUGAUUAUAAGGAGAUAUAAAUUCACAAGAUGAUGUAUAAAAUGUCGCGAACUGAGCAUCUUGAAUAGCUGAACUCGAAUGCAGGUUGUGUUUUUGUAAGUGUAUAGUUGUUCAUCCUUAACACAUAGAAAUAUAUAAUUUUAAAGAUUCUGUAUUUACAAAAGUUUAAAGAUCAAAUUUCAUCAGCUCAUUACAAGAAAAAAUUGCUUAAGAAUUGGGCAGUGGCCGCGCGAACGCAGGUCCCCUCUGCAACAAAUUAUGAUGUAGGGUCGACCCAAGUUAUGAUGUAGGCUCGACCACUUGGGUCGACCUUAGGUAGGCACCCCUCCAAAGUGCAAUGAAGGUCACAACUUAAAAUGUGCACUGGGCAAUCUGCUAUUCGUCCUUUUCGGUUUUUUUUUCUUGUUAUUACCUGGUGUCUUGACACCUGUGCACUUCAACUAAUUCUAUGAUCGGACAUGUGUAGCUUACAGGUUCGGCCAAGCAGUAGCUUUAGUCUAAAUUCUCUAUGUGUUGAGAGAUUUAUUGCCUGUGUUCAAAAAAUAAUUGAGAACUCUGUUUGCAUUUUUUUGUUUCACAACUAGAAUUUGCUCCUCUAUAUCAUUUCCCUCUUGUCUGUCCUUCCAGAAGAUAAAAUAUAUAUUCCUCCACCGUUAAUCAGAAAUUUCGGAAUACAACAAUUUUUUAUCUACCCUUCACAAAGAGUGUCACUUUAUUAUAAUAUCAGAAAAUAAAAAAUGUUACUAUGUAUAAGAACACAUGUAGAAAGGGUUAAAAACUACUAAACUAGCAUUGUUGGAGUACUCAAAGAAGAGAACCCCUCCAAAAAUUGGCGUAUGCCACUGAUUGCAGCGCACACACGGUAUUCUUUAGUAAAAGGCGAAAGAAUAGUUCGCUUUGUGCUCACUGCGUGGCUGCGUGAGUUCUUUAACUAAUUUGUGCUGCAAUUUUAUAUUGGGACAAAGUUAGUAUUUGCUCGUGUUUUAUCAAUGUGGUAUUGGAAAAGAAAAAAAACAGCUGCAUUCGUUUAAAUUGCAUCUUCUAUGGUUUACUUUAAUCUACGUUGUUUGGACUCUCCAGAAAUGUUGUUGCACUGGACCCGUGUUGGAUCCUCCAAAUGCACAAGUCACCUUCUUUUUUUAUGGAGUCCGAAAAAUAUAAUUUUAUAAUGGGGAUCGAGUAAUGUAUGGAACAUUGUAUCUCAGGGCUAAGAUUUUAUACUCCUUAGAAGAACUCCAUGAAGAAUCUACAAAAUCAUUGACGGAAGUAUCAGUAUGUUAUUGGGCUAAAGCAAUCCGAAGAUACUCUUAAUAUGUUAUGAUAUUGUUCGCUAGACUCAUUAGUUACGUAGCUCGAGAAAAUUUCUCAUCUUUUUUUUGUCCAUGUAAAUAGUUAAGUAUACAAUUAUAUACAACUUUAACAUAAAAGUUUUAAGAUAAUACAUAAAUCAGCCAAAUGGCUGGCCUACAAUAUAACACAAAACAAUAAUAAGAAAAUUUUGCUUUAGAAUUGAUAGGGGCUGCGCGAACGCAAGCCCCCACUGCAACAAAUUAUGACGUAGGCUCGACCAUUUAGGUCGACCUUAGGUAGGCACCCCUCCAAAGUGCAAUGGAGGUCACAAACCUAGGCCAUGGAUCUUAUUGAUCACCCAUUGACCCCGUCCAGGUAAGUAUGUUUCUUGUUGCUGCUUCCUAUUAUUUUAUACCCAUCUUAAUACUUGUUUUUCUUUGUGUCAACCGAUGAAGGAUAUAUUGCCCUUCAUCUUUUUAUUAUUAUUUUUUUCAUUUAAUAGCAAACAGAUAGACAACAAACAAAUCUUUAUAUAGAGUGUGUUCGGUAGGGAGGAAAACAUUUUUCAUGAAAAACACUUUCCUUCUUACCAAACAACUCCAUAAUGUUAUUUGAUCCUUUUCGUUUUAUUCUUCAUCCAAUUGUGAUGUCUUUGAUCUGUGUACACUUCGACUAAUUUUAUGAGGUACCAUAUGAUGUUAACAAAAAUGCCAACUUAAAAUGUGCACUGGGCAGUCAUUCUAUGUGUUGAAAAAAUUUAAAGAUCAAGCAUUCAUCUGCUCACUGUUUGGCUACAAGAACACAAAGUAAAUACAAAACAAGAAAAUUUUGCUUAAGAAUUGAGUAGGAGCCACAUGAAUGUAGGCUCCCACUGCGACAAACUAUGACAUAAGCUCGACCACUUGGGCUGACCUUUGGCGGGCACCCCUACAUGGCGGGGCUACCUUUAUAAUAAUGGCAUUGUCAAGAUUCAGUAGUUUUGGCUCAAACUCUAUUAUAUCGAGUUACAAGCAAAUAUGAAACUAUAUUGAUCAAACUCGAUAAUUCCGCAGCUCGGGAAGAAAAAUCAAUAAUUUAAGUACAUAGAAGGAAGAUGUUGUUGAGAGGUCAGAGUGGCAUUUGAAUGAAAGCUCUUUUUUAUCAAUAAGCCAAGUGAUUGCUCAAACUAAUGAUUAUACAAGUACCAAUUGAAUGAAAAUUUUCUUGAAGAAUUGGGUAGGGGCUGCGCGAACGCAGGCCCCCGCUGCAACAAAUUAUGACGUAGGCUCGACCACUUGGGCCGACCUUAGGCAAGCACCCCUCCAAAGUGCAAUGAAGGUCACAAACCUAGGCCAUGGGUCUUCUUCUUUUUUUCAUUUAAUAGCAAACCAGAUAGACAACAAACAAAUCUUUACCAUACUCAUGGGAAAAUUAAAAUAAGAUUAAAAAGCCCUUAUGAAUUUCAUAUUGAGUAUAUCAUUACCCUUCGGGGUGGCCAAGUUGUUUGGGCUUGGGACUUCCAUGUUGGAGGUCACAAGUUCGAAACCCCUUGCAGGGUUUACCUUCUGGAUCGAGCUCGUCGUACCUAGCUUGUAUAGUGCGGAUUACCUCUCUUGUGUGGUUUGCAAGCUAUUGCAUAGAAGUAGAUUUUCAUAAAAAAAAAAAGUACUGAGUAAAUCAUAUAAUCCAAUUUUAGUGACAAAGUCAAGUGUCUAAUUGUACUGAGAUUAAAGAUGUUGUGUAGAAACUGAUGUUAACAAAAACUAUGCUUACUGCAAAAGUUGCUCAACUUAUAGGGUGUGUUCUGGACGAAAAUAUUUUUCAUGAAAAACAUUUUUCCUUCGUACCGAACACUUCCAUAAUGUUAUUUCCUUUUAUUCGUCACUUCCAUAAUGUUAUUUCCUUUUAUUCGUCUUCUCAUACAACCGUCUCGUAAUGCCUUCGGCUAUGUGCACUUCGACUAAUUCUACAAUGGACAACACCAAAAUAAACAAGUACAAAUUAAGUACCUUAGUAAAAGCAGUUUGAACUUAAAUUUUUUGUAAUGCAGCUCAAAUUUUGCUCAUAUAAAAAUACUAUAAAUUAUAAGACAAAUAUAAAAAAAUAAUUAAAACUAGUAUUGUUGGGGUCCUCUAAAGAAGAGAAUCCCUCCAAAAAUUGGCGUAUGCCACUAAUUGCAGCGCUCACACGGUAUUCUUUAGUAAAAGGCGAAAGAAUAGUUCGCUUUGUGCUCACUGCGUGGCUGCGUAAUUUUUUGUGCUUAUCUAUGCUGCACUUUUAUAUUGGGACAAAGUUAGUAUUUACUCGUGUUUUAUCAAUGUGGUACUCUCUACACUCUUUUUUAUUUCUCGAAUUACUCUCUCUGCUUCUUCUUUUUCAUCACUCCUUUAAAUUCGAUCGAAAAUCAUCAUGUUUCUUGUAUACUUUGUUGUUUGAUUAAUUUAAGAUUUGAUUUCACUUCAGUUUGUUGGUGAUUCUAGAGAAAUAUAUGGUCACAAGUUAAUCAAUGAAAUGUCGCGUUAGGAUGUUUUGUACUUAGUACUCUUGAAUACUUGAAUUGUAGAGUCUGAAUUUUUACUAAGGACAAUCAAAAUUUGGAAGAAAUAAACAAAUGAAUAAGCCAAGAGAAUUCAUUGCUUAUCAUACAUAUGAAAAAUAUAAUAAUUUAACAUUAUAUAUACAAUAUAAUUUUUUUGUAAAUGGGUUCCGAUGUAAAUCCUCUCAUAUUAGAUAGAGAAAAACUUCUCAUAUUAGAUAGAGUUAUAAAUCCUCAAACAUAAAAAAAUUUGGAAGGAAGAUAGAGAAAUGAUGAGGAAAAUCAAAAAUAUUGUUACCCCAUUUUAACAUAUGUUUACCAAAUCAAGAAAAAAUUGUCUAAGAAUUGGAUAGGAUCAUUCGAUGGCAGACCCCACUAUCACAAAUUAUAACGUAGGCUCGAUCACUUAGGCCGAUCUUAAACAUGUACCUUUUUAAAGUGCAAUGAAAAUCACCAAUUAGUAUCAGUCUCGUAACAGUAUUGGCGCAAAAGGAUCGGUCCUUCACUUGCUGAUCGUACACACAGAAGGUUUUUGCUCUCGUAUUCCGGGUUUUCCACUUCGUUCAGUUACAUUAGGGCUUUAUACAACUCUACCUUGGUGAUUAAGUUCCGCUUUAGUUGGUGUGAAAUGAGCGGAUUCUGGGAUAGGAGGUCUUGUCGGUAUGGAACCUACCCUUCCGGAUGUUCCUUCCUAUUAUUUUAUAUCUAUCCAAAUCGAAGUUUUCCUUUGUGUAGACCGGUGAGCGACUUUUGUACUUGUUUUCUCCUAUUUGGUAAUGUAAUAUAUUCUACAAAGGUUAGAGACAUAUAAAUAGAAAUAUCUAUUAUUUUAACCGUAGUUUAGCACACUUUUUAGUAAAAUUAAAUUUUUAUAGACCUUUGCUGAUAAGUGUCACGCAUCUAAAUAAGAAAUUAGAAAAUGAAAAGAAGUCGGAUCUAAAAAUGUCAUCAUAUAGUAUAUACUUUAGUUUGUUGUAGACAGAGAAUUGACAAUAACAAUAACAUAUCCCAUAUAAUUUUAUUGAUGAUAUUGAGAAAGAAUGAUGUAUACACUAAUACACAAACCUUACGUCUAUUUUGUGAGAAUACAUAAGUCACUUUCCGACUUCAUUUUUUUUUUCAUUUUUUGAUAAUUCUCAAAGUUGUCAUUCUUAUACAUGUAACUAGCAUGGGGUAAAUGAAAUCGUUCAAGAUGGUCACUCAAUUUCUCAUGACACCGAUAUUUUAAUGAGGUGUCAUGUGACAUGCUACAUCUCCAAUUUUCUUUAUUGCCUCACUUUUUUCCACUCCUUCCAUAUUUUUUAUUUAUACGUAACAUUUUUUCUCUCUAAUAUAAAAUAAUACUAUAUCACUACAAAAUUCAACAUAAUUUAAAUUAAUCGAGUCAAUAAAUAUUAAAUAUCUGAUGAUUAAAACAAAAUAGAGAAUAACUUCUCUCAUAAGACAAAGAAGAGGAAAGUAUGUUCAAUUUCAAUGCAAAUUGCACAAUGAUACUUCAGUUUCAGAAUUUGUUGCACACACAAUAUUCUUGUUUAGAAACUUCUGUUUUGGUACUACUUCACAAUAGGACCUUUCAACUUUUCAUCAUUUUGGUGACGUUACGUUUAUCUAAGCUCAUACGUUGGUCAAAUUCAUUUAUUUUAAGGAUAUAAUUUAAACUUAUUUUAAUUUGAAAUUGAAAUUUUAUUUAAACUGAAAAGUAUAUGUUUUUUGUUCUUCUAAACAUGAAACUUUUAUCAUCUGUGAAAACUAUCAAAAUUUUCUCAAUUAUUACAAUUUUAUCGAAGUAACUUAUCAAAAUUCAUAACAAAGCAUAAUACCCUAGCAGAAGAUCCUUCUCAAAAAUAUAGUAGCAAUAUUUAUUGAUUGAACUUUAGUUUAAUAAAAAGAAAAAUUAAGCAUUAGUAACAAAGUAACUAUUUUUUUAUUAGUAAUAUAAUCUUCAAUAUGAUAUAAAUAAUAUUUUUACGUAGUUAAGUAUAUUUUUUCGAAUUAAAAAAUUGAAAAGACGAAAUAAUAUUUUUUUUCAAUCGGUUGUUGGUAGUGUGAUUAACAACCAUAUCUACAUCAAACGAAAUUACUAAGUGAAGUGAUAAAUUUUGAAAAGUAAUUAGCUAUGAUAAACAUUAUAUUUAAGGACACAUAUUAUAUAUUUAUUAAAUUAAUAACGUAACACCGUAUGUGAUAAAUUAUUAUUCACGAGACUAGAAUAUAAAUAGAAACGUAUUUCUACAAAUAUUCUCAAAACUUUAAUGGAAUAAAAAUUAGCAAUCAAACAAAAUUAAAGCAAUAAAUUGACCAUAUCUAUACUAAUUGAUGUAUCAUGACUCAUAUUGAGAAGAUUUAAAAAUAAAAAAAUAAAUAUAUUUAAAAAAUCACAGAAAUUCAACAUAUCAUAUAUCUAUCUAUUCAUAAACAUAAUUUUUUAAUUUUUUUUUACAUAUAGAGUAUAAUUUUGUGCCUUCCCAUCUAAUAAUAAAACAAUAAGUAUUUCUCCAUCUUUAACUAUAAUUCUUGAGUUUAAACUCAAGUGUGGAAUCUUGUUUUUAUCGAAAGCGUUUUAUCUUUUAAGUGUAAUUCUUUUUUUAAAAUAAAUCAAGAUUAAUUAGUUGAAUAUUAAAACGGAUAAUUGAUUCCAACAUGAGGAUAAAAAUCAACAAUAUAAAAAAAUAUAUAGUGUAAAUAUUUAUGAGAGAAAUUCAGGUAAAUUGCUUGCGACCUUAGCUCUACCUCCAAUAGAGUAGUAAGUAUUUCCCAGUCUUUAACCAUAAUACAUUUGGUCAGACUCAAGUGUGGAAUCUUGUUUUUAUCAGAAGCGUUGAAUAUCAUAACGGAACAAAAAUCAACAUCUCUUAAGAGGGAUACGUAUAAAUCACCUUCGAUCCUAACUCUACCUCUAAUAAAAGAACAAUAAGUAUUCCUCCGUCUUUAACCAUAAUAUUUAAAUUCAGACUCUAUGUGUAAAAUCUUUUUUCGUCGAAAGCGAUAUAUCUUUUGAAAUAUGACUUAUUUUGUAUGAAUCAAGAUUAGUCGGAUCUCAAAACAGAUACUCGAUACCGGCUUGAGGACAAAAAAUAGCAUUUAUAAAAAGAACAUAAAAAAGGAUAUUUGUUACAAAUUUUAUAUUACGUGAUCCCCAAGCAACCACCANNNNNNNNNNNNNNNNNNNNNNNNNNNNNNNNNNNNNNNNNNNNNNNNNNNNNNNNNNNNNNNNNNNNNNNNNNNNNNNNNNNNNNNNNNNNNNNNNNNNNNNNNNNNNNNNNNNNNNNNNNNNNNNNNNNNNNNNNNNNNNNNNNNNNNNNNNNNNNNNNNNNNNNNNNNNNNNNNNNNNNNNNNNNNNNNNNNNNNNNNNNNNNNNNNNNNNNNNNNNNNNNNNNNNNNNNNNNNNNNNNNNNNNNNNNNNNNNNNNNNNNNNNNNNNNNNNNNNNNNNNNNNNNNNNNNNNNNNNNNNNNNNNNNNNNNNNNNNNNNNNNNNNNNNNNNNNNNNNNNNNNNNNNNNNNNNNNNNNNNNNNNNNNNNNNNNNNNNNNNNNNNNNNNNNNNNNNNNNNNNNNNNNNNNNNNNNNNNNNNNNNNNNNNNNNNNNNNNNNNNNNNNNNNNNNNNNNNNNNNNNNNNNNNNNNNNNNNNNNNNNNNNNNNNNNNNNNNNNNNNNNNNNNNNNNNNNNNNNNNNNNNNNNNNNNNNNNNNNNNNNNNNNNNNNNNNNNNNNNNNNNNNNNNNNNNNNNNNNNNNNNNNNNNNNNNNNNNNNNNNNNNNNNNNNNNNNNNNNNNNNNNNNNNNNNNNNNNNNNNNNNNNNNNNNNNNNNNNNNNNNNNNNNNNNNNNNNNNNNNNNNNNNNNNNNNNNNNNNNNNNNNNNNNNNNNNNNNNNNNNNNNNNNNNNNNNNNNNNNNNNNNNNNNNNNNNNNNNNNNNNNNNNNNNNNNNNNNNNNNNNNNNNNNNNNNNNNNNNNNNNNNNNNNNNNNNCACCCUCCCCCCCACCCACCCCCCUCCCCCCCAUUCCCCCCCCCCCCUACCCUACCCCACCCCCAACCAAUCCCCCUUUUCUUCCGCCAUAAAAAGCAUCUGGAAGCUACUCUGUCUUCUUCAAUACCAAUACUUUAUUCCAGAAUUAUCCCCACCGCCUUAUCUUAUUUACUAAUCAAACCUUCCUUAAACCCCACCUCUGUUUCUGUAUAUAUAUAUAUAAACCCUUCAAUAAUUACUAUUCGGAACUCUGUUUUUUCCAUUUUUUUCCAUUUUUCAUGUGUUGAACGGUUUGCCGGAAAUUGAUGUAUUAGUUGCGUUCCCUUUUUUUUUUUGCAAUUUCAUGUAUUGGGUUUGCCGGGAAUUGACGUAUUAGUUGCCGGAGUUUGAGAAAAGAACUCCAUUUUCCCCUUUUUUUUGCAUAUUCGUGUAUUGGGUUUGCUGGGUAUUGACGUAUUAGUUGCCGGAGUUUGCGAAAAAAAAACUCCUUUUUCAGUUUUUUCACUUGUUGGGUUUGCCGUGGAUUGAUGUGUUAGUUGCCGGAGUUCCCUCUUCAGCUGUUUCACUUGUUGGGUUUGCCGGGGAUUGCGUGUUAGUUGCCGGAGUUUUGGCUUUAUUCAACUUUUUAGCAUAUUUCACUUGUUGGGUUUGCUGGAAAUUGACGUGGUAUUUGCCGGAGCAAUGGUGGAAGGCGGUGCAGGUCCGGAGUUUCCGGUGGUGUUUUACGAUGGAGAGAGAGAGAUGAAUAUUGGGAGUAUUCGGAUAUACCCUUUGUUAGAAUUCAAAGCGUUUCAGUUGAUGUUAAGCCAGAGGAUCGGAAUCUCACCGAAUCAGAUUUCAAUUUACUUGUGUGAUCGGAAAAGCUCAAAGUUUGAAGAUCGACGGAGGAUUCCCAUAACCGGUAAAGCUAAUUUCGGUUUAAUUGCUCGUGAGAAGGACUGUUUCUUUCUCGUGGUUCUAAAACGGUCGCGAAAAUCACGUAACCGAAAGGUAGCAAAAGCGGAUUACGCCGGUGGAUUCAUGACGGAGAAUGAGUUCUCCGUAACUCCACCGGAUAAUCCGAUUCUCCUCCGACGUACCCACCCGAAUCAAAUCGGAUUCGGGUCACCAUUUUUCGAUCAAAUUUCAUCAUUAGAACUAGAAAAUUUGAACGACAAGUUGCAGAGUUUGAAGAUUCAGAGAGACAAUUACAAUUACUCCAUGGGUAUAUCGCAACUGAACUCAAUUCCGAUACAUCGGAAUAAUCCGUACCCGGACCCGGAUCCGUUUCCGAGGAUCCAAGAUACAUUUCCGAUGAAGACGAAAGGUAAAUGCGAGCAAUGCAAGGGUAAUAAUGGAAAUGAAAAGAUUCCCAGUUUUCAUCACUGCAAAAAUGAUCCGGUGAUCGUUGGUGUUUACCGGAGCCGGUUUGGACCGGUGUCGCCGGCCGGUUUUUUUUAGUUAAGUGACGGUUUAAUUGUACAAAGUUUUUGGGAGCAGAAGAGAAGGAAUCUGCUGCAUUUGUGGUAUAUGGUAAGGAAAAUGUACCAUAAUUUUAGUUUAUAAAAUUAGCCUAUGAUUAGGGAAGUGAUUAUGAAUGGAUUAUUAAGGAAAUUGGAUUUUGAUUUUGGAGUGGUCAACAAAUUAGCUUGCCACUAAAUAAGUUUUUUUGUUUUUUUAAUAUAAAUUAGUUUUUUUUUAAAGGAUUAUUCCCUAUAUUGGUUAUUUUGGGAGUUUGAAGAAAAUGUAAUAUGGAGAUUUUUCCAUGAAUUGAAUUCAUAAAAUAAGUGUGAAUUGAUUUUGAAAUGCAAUUAUUGUUUUUUCAAUUUGUUUUUUUUUCUUUUCUUAUGCGUGUUUAAUACGAUUGUAAUGUUGGUAAUGAAUUAUAAUUAAUUUAAAGGUUUAAAGGGAGACUUGGAACAAAUUUUCAAAGUUGAAGAAUUAAUCAUGGUGGAGUAUCCUAUUAUAUGGAGAGUUAGAGGUCGAGCUACUUAUUAAAAGAAAAAAAUAUUUGAGUAUAGUUUUUAGGAAAACAAAUUAUAAUAGGGUUUGAUUCAAAAUAAAACACUUAGAUACGUUUUCAGGAUUCAAAUGUAGACAAUGUGUCAAAUAAUAUGAUGUAUGCACUAUUAUGAAAAGGUGGAUCUAAGUAUAAAUUUGAUCGAUUUAACACUUAGGUUCUUAUCCAAAUCACUUACAGAGGCGUUACACAAUUUUAGAAGAAAAAAUAAAACAAGAUAAAUAAAAAAUUCAAAUUUCUAACCUAGCGGUGCAUCACAUUAUCAUCACAUUAAUACUUCAAGUGUAGAUUCACACAUUUAUAUUUAAAUAUUUUUUAAAAAAUAUAACAUUACUAUUAUAUGAUUUUAGAAGUAUGGGUUCACGUGAAUUCGGUGACCCCUCCUAGAUGAUUUUUCUUGUUUUGGUUUCCUAUUCGGUGUUCGGCACCCACAUUGGUGUCCGACUAAAUUCGGAUUCGUGCCGGGAAGCCCCACAUUGAGGGAUAAAGCGCUCCCUAACAAAGACGACUCCGUACUCAAGGGGGUUCGAACCCGAAAUCUCUUAAUUAAGGAUGAAGGAGUACUUACCAUUCCAUCACAACCUUUGUUGAUUGGAUGAUUAUUGUGUGUGAGAAGUAAUAGAAAAAUUCAAUUAGGACUUGAUUCAAAAAACGAACAAAUGAUACAUUUUAGAAUUCAGAUAUGAACAAUAUACUACAUAAUUAUCGCGUGAAAAGAACUAUAAAGAUUCUAUUACUCAUAAUUAUCACCUGAUUGUUUUAUUCGAAGAAUAAAAAAUCAUAGGAGAAUUUUUUUAAUAAAGUUUGAAAAGACAAAUGGCAGAUCGAUAAAGAUACUAAAAUAUGAAAAAUAUACUUUUGUUCCAAGUAAAAAUUAGUUUGAAUUUUUUCAUUUAUAAAAAAGUGUAUAUAUUUUAGAAUUUUUUUUUUGGAUGGAUACAUUUUAAUAAAUAAUUAUUAAUUUUAGUCGAUACUUUUUAUUUAUUACCAUUUAUAGCAAUACUAUGUUAAAUUCUACAAUAUGUAUUAAAAAGUGAAUUAUGUAUGCAAUAUAUAUGCAUUAUAACUGUUUUUUAAAAUAUAUUAUGUUUGUUUGGUAGGAAAUUGACACAUUGAAUUAUAAGUGUAUUAAAAUGUGUGAUAAAUGUAUUAUCCAUCAAUAAAACUUGUAUUAUAUGUGAAUAAUAAAUUGCUCUUUGUAAUAUGUAUUAAAAGUGAUCAAGUGAAAAAAAAUAUUAUUGUUAUAAAUGGUAAAUAUUUUUCUAACAUAGUAUAUUUAUGUAAGUUUCCUAUAUUUUACGUGGAUUUUCUUUCAUAAUAGAACAAAAUACUGAUAUCAUCGAGAUAACUAAAUAAACUAAAAAUCAAAAUUAUUGAAAAGGGAAAACACAUUAUUUUCAACUUUGGCAAAAACCUAAGAUCUAUAAUAAUUUCUAGAAAUCGAAGUUAUAUCUUUAACAUAAUUUAGUAAAUACUUAUUAAAAGAUAUUUUCUUUUUAGUAAAAUUCAUAAUUCUUUAUGUUUAGCAAAAAUGUGCAACAACGAUUUUAUGUGUAUGUUGCUCGUGUAUAUUUAAUUAGCUAAAGUACCUAAUUAGUGAUAUUGUUGAACAAAUGCCUUUUUCCCUUUUAUUUAAGUGCACAUAUAAAGUACAAAGAAUUAAGUACCUAAUUCAUCAUAAUUUUUAAUAUAAAGUUUAAGAGAUUAUACAUGAUAUUAUCUAAAACAAUUCAUACCAUUCAUAUAUAGUGUUUUGAUCUAAGCCAAAUAAAUAAUAAAGAAAAUAAUUAAUCAAAUAAAAAAACCCCAAAAUUAAAAUUAGGAAGUUAAAGUAGGCUUAGUGGAGGUAGUUAACAUAUUGUAAGGAUUAGUUACACCAUAUAUUGUAACAAUUAAUAAAUAUUGUUUGGUAGCUUUGAAGCAACUCAAAUAUUAAUAAAUAUUAUUAGCUUUGAAUUAAUAAUUAAUAAUUAUUUUCUAAAGGACAAAGAGAAAAAAAGAGAGGAUAAAUAACAUUUUUGAUCUCUUAAUUAUUGCUAAAUUGAUUUAAGUUAAUUGAAAACAUGCUUUUGAUCCUUUUAUAUAGAAAAUAUAUUGUUUAAAAAUUAUUUUAGGGAAAAAAUUACGGUUAAAUUUGAAAUAAAAAUACAAUUUUAAUAUAAAUAUGAUAAUUGAAUGACGAAACAAUUGAUAAUCAUGAUAAAACUAUGAAGAUUUAUAAUAAAAAGGAGAAACAAUACAAGUUUCGAUUAAUUAAAAAUUAAAUAUAUUUAAUCAUACAUUACAAAAAUUAAAAUGAGAAUUUAUUGAAAGUUAAAUGGAUCAAAAUUUGCUACUAACAAGUGACACCCCAAAGAUUGCAAAUGGACUUCUCCAUAUUUAUAAAAAAAAGUUUUAAAUUGGUUCAUUAAUAUAUAGGAGAAAAAAAAAUUAUCUUCUAAUUCACUAUAAUACAAUAUGUUUAUUUGAAGUACUGCUUCUUCCUUCUACUUUUACUUGACAUAAAUUUUCAAAUAUUUUUGUCAAAUCAUUUUUAAGUGAAAUUUUACUAUGUGCUAAACCAUAGAUUUUGAUAGAAAUAUUUGACUUUUACCCCAAUAAGUUUUCAAAAUUAUUGAAAAUAUACAUACAUAAGUUUGUAUUUUCAUUUUAUAAUGAAAAUGUUCCUUAAAAAGUCACGACAACAAACAUAAUUAAUAUGAAUUUUAAAAAGAGGAAGAAAACAAAAGUAAAAUACCAUCGAUUUGUAUACGAAAAACAAUUAUUACUACUUGUACUCAGAAGCGACUUUUGACAGCAAGCUCGAAUAAAUUUUUAGUAUUUAGUGUUUGAUAUUCACAUUGAAAUUCGACUAAAUUUGGAUUCACGUAAAAGUCCAUCAUUGAGGGAUAGAAUGUUUCCAAACAAAAAUGACUUCAUAUCCAGCAAAACUCAAACUCGAAACUUCAGAUUAAUAAUACAAAAAUACUUACGGUUACAGCUCUACCACAACUCUUGUUCAUAACAAAAUAUUUGUUGAUAGCAAUUCUCGUUGUUAAUUUUCUAACCCGAUAUUCAAUAUUUGUAUUGAAACCCAACUAAAUCCGAUAACGAAAUUAUAUCGAAUAUAUUUUUAGUAUUCUAUAUCGAUAUUCAUAUUAAAAUUCGAUUAGAUUUGAAUUCACAUAGAAGUCAAAUUCAAAAUUUCUGAUUAAGAAUACAAGAAUACUUAACAGUUACAACUCUACCACAACUCUCGUUCAUAACAAAAUAUUUAUUGAUAGCAAUUCUCGUUGUUAAUUUUCUUACUUGAUGUUCAAUAUUUAUAUUGAAAUCCGACUAAAUUCGAUAACGAAAUCACUUUGUGAUAUGCACUUAUAUAUCCAAUAUAUAUAAAUUUACAUCCAUCUUCCCUGAGCUGUCACGUAUCAACUUCCAAAUAGAGAAGCCAAUGCUGCAACUCUUCAGCUCUACAAAGCUCUGAACAAACCCAAAAAUGGCAGAAACCUCAUACCCCCUACCCCUACCCUACCCCCAAACCCACUAUCAAUAUGCUUCCAGUUAUUGGUCAGUUGACCCACCCCCCCAGUCCUCUGGUCACGUGACCCACCCCACCCUUCUCUCUCACACCUUUUAGCAGGCAAAAAAAGAACUGUAACGUCAAUUUGAAAAACUUCUCUCUCUUCUCAACUCUCUUUCUCUCUCUAAAAGCUUAUAAUCUGAGUUUCUGAGUUUGAAUUCUUGGUGGGUUUUGAGAAAAAAUGGAGUAUUCUUCUUCAGAAAAUCUGGAUGAUGGAGAGUUAUGGCUACCUUCUGAUAUUUUUCCAGUAGAAGAAACUGUUUCUUCUACUAAUAAUAAUAAGCUCAGUUCUUCUCUUUGCUGUUGUUACUCUUGUGUUCUUCUUCUUCGUCAUCAUCAUCACAAUAAUCAUAGCUCCAUUUUCAUGGCUGAACAAGAAGUAUCUGCUGCUAUUUCACUUCUUCAAUACCGUACUCAUAAUACCCACAGUGUUCCAAAGCCAUUUCCCAUUACUGAGGUAAAUGGGUUUUUCAUAGAAUCUCUAAUUUUUCGUUACAUUAGUACUGGCAUUUUACUCUGUUUUGUUUUUUUUCUUCGAAUUUCGCCAUUGUUGCAGAGGUUCAAAGCUUCUUCUUCGUUUUUACUUACUGUUUUUGUCGAUAUUGCAGCGGCGGUUCAGACCGGCUGAGAGGUGCUGUAGCUGUACGGAUUGUUCAAUUUCAGAGUAUUUUGAACGGAAUAGAAGAGGAAGAGAGCUGCUUCUAACCGGUCCACCACCGGUUUAUCCACCGGUUCAACUUCAACACCAGGUAGAACCGAAACUUCAUUUUUGUCCGGUUAUUUCUCGAUUUUCAACUUUUUCUCUUACAAAAUUGGUAUAGGUUGAGAGUUUGAUGGAAGCAAGAGCUCUGAUUUUACAGAAGGAAGAGCAGAACCGGUUCAUCAGAAUGCAGAGAAGAAAUCCCGGCCUAGACCGGGUCGCCGGAAACCGGGUUUCGCCAUUUGUGGGAGGCGGUGGCAGUGGCGGUGGUUUUAAUGGUGAAAGUAGUUCUGUGAGAGAUUAUGGUGGAACUGGUGUCUUCCUCCCUAGAAUACCCACCAAUAUCAACAACAAUGGUAGAAAGAGACCAGGCAAGUCAAUUAAAUAAUCGAGCUAUGUUGCUUGGAUUCUUCAAAAAUGUUGACGGAGCUAAUUUUGAAGAAUCCGAUAACGAUAAGGCCGUGACAAUAUUUUUGGAAAGUCCGAGCAACGUUUACAUUAUACUAAUCCUAGUGUUCAUUUAUUGUUGGUUAUCAUGAUUAAUGAGCCGAGAGUCUAUCACAUCUUCUCCAAACCUCACUUGUGAAAAUAUAUAUGUUGUUGUUGUUAGAUUACACUACAUUCAUUGUAGAGAUAACAACGGGGCGAGUUUAACUUAAUUCGCAAAAAUUUCAACAUGCUUUGCCUCGCUCUUCAUAACAUUUUCUCCUAUUCUCCAUCCGUUUUGCCUCGUUGCCAUCCCUAGUUCAAUGUGAAUAUACAUGCCCUAGUCUUAGUUUAAAGCUUAACAAGUUGAAGGGCAUUGUCAUCACAUGCAAAAUGCAUACUCUUUCCCUUUCAAUUUGUAUGAUUAAUUUUUGUUUGACUAGACUAGUAAUUAAAAAGAACAAAAAAACAAAGCUUUUGUCAUGUAAGUUAAUAUAAUAUGUAUGACAUUUGGCAAGAGGGGGUUUGCUCAUAUAGUAAGCGUUUUUCUACUUUCGACCUUAAAGUUGUGGGCUCGAAUCAUCAAGUGAACGAAAAGGUGAGAAUUUCUUGAGAGUGGUAAAUUUUUUUAAAUGAAAUUUGAAGUUCAACUUGCACGUACUUUGACUAGUUCUCUACGAUAGGUAUGGUAUAUAAUUCUAUCUACCAAAUCUUGGAUAGAUUGUGUGGUAUACCUAGUAUGAACAAGUAUGUCACUAAAAGGGGUAAGAGUGUUGUGCUUAAAUGAAGAUGGAUAUUAUUUUAACUAGAUGGAACUAGUUAGAAACACCAAAUCACAAAGUACUUAAAGAUGUAAAUCUUGAACUAGUGUUGAUAGAUUAUUUUUAGAGAAUAAGAAUAGAUCCUUGUGGUUCAAUCCCUUUUUGAACUCUGUGCAUAAUAAAAGCUUAGUGCAUCGAACUGUCCUUUUAAGAAUAUGGUGUUCUUAGUGAUGGUAGAAUUCACCAUUUUCCUUAUUUGGUUUGACAAGAAGUAGAGGAAGGGAGAAACAAAUUUUAUGAUUUAUUCUUAGGUGAGUUAGCCGAGGGAUUAUUGGAAACAGCCUCUGUAUCUCUCAAGUAAGAGUAAGAUUUACAUAUAUCCUAUCCUCUCCUAUCCAGACCCCAUUUUGUGGGACUACAUUGAAUAUGUUGUUGUUCUUAGCUUAGUUAAGUUGUUAUAAUUAUAUCACUCUGUGAACUUUUAUCAAUUUUUCAUGACUUGUUCUUAGUUGGGUGAAAUAUUUUCUUGUUUCCUCUUUUACCCCUUUUUUUCUGAUAGGGCACACAUGAAAAAAGUGGUUUUUUGGGAAAAGCAACUGACAUCUGACCCUCUCUUAUAUCUUUUGGUUAUAUAUGGUAGUUCAUUCUGAAAUUUCCUUUCUCAUAGUAAAUGUUUGGCAGUUUUGUUUUAAGGGGAGGAUUUGUUGCAUUCUUUAGGUUAGGCUGCUUACCUCUUGAAUGCUAGCCCCCCUACCCCACCCCACCCCACCCUCCAAGCAAAAUUAGCCCAUGAAAAUGUAACUCGUCCAAGUAUGGGUUGUUUAUGACCCGCUUAUUAGCCCAUUUAAGCACAAAUGGUUUUUGGGCGGGUCAAUAGUUCGUCUUUUUAUUAACUCAUCCCAUUUUAACAUGUUCAAUUUCAAUUCAACCUUCUAGUAGCUACUAAGAUGUGAGCAAGAUUAAGAACUAGGUUAUGAGAAUUAAUGAUUGGUAGUUUAUUCACAAAAAAGGUUAGUUUGGUGCAUGAAUCAUCCUGCUGUCACUCAGGGUUUGGAGAAGAAGGGUCAUUCACCAAAGUAGUGUAAUGUAGACACCCUAUCCGGAGACAAAAAUAAUAACCAAUUCCACUGCUCGAGCUCGUAACCUAUUGAAAACAUGUAUCCUUACAAGGUUGAGGAUAAGGCUUUGCACAUACUACUACUCUCAGAUUUCACUUGUGGAAUUACACUAAAUAUGUUGUUGUUGUGAACUCGUAACUUAUCGAUCAUACUGAGAUAACUUUAUUAUUGCUCAGAUUUCUCAUGUAUAUGUAGUGUUUUUUUGAGAAAAUUUUUGUAGGGUCAAAUCCUGAUUCAUUUUUCUGUAUGGCAGGUGGUAAAAAUAGGCAAGAUGUUCAACAAACUAAUCAGAGAUAUCCAUGCAUAUGAGAAAUGGCAAAAACCUAAAGAAUUGGACCUAUUGAUAUAUAGUAAUUUGAUCUUUAGAUAUAGUAAUUUGGUAGAUUUAAAUAAUUGAACUUAGCAUAUGGUUGUGUGUGUAAUUUUUAUCUAAUUACCAAUUGUCUUUUUGAGGGAAAAUGGUGGUGUCUUUUGGCAAAAGGGCCUGUUUUUAAAUCUUUCCCUUUUUUGGUGUCUACAUAUGGCAAUUGUAAUGUGACUUCUCUUUAAAUAUGUGUAUUAUAAUAAAUGCUUCUAGUUUUGGCCACACAUGCCAUUUUGUAAAUUGUUGUGACCUUUUGGAUUUAACUUAAUUUUUGGAAAAUAAUAUUUGAGGUUUGGGUUAGUUUUUGAGCAAGUGUAUAAAAUUGGUGGGAGUUCAUUAUGAGAAAUAUACUGUUUGUGGUGAAAUACUCAUAUUAAUAAUUGCUUUUUAAAGAGCGUGUAAAGUAUAAAAUGAACAAAUAAAAAUAAAUGAAGAGAGUAUUUGAUUGUUUGCCUUUUUCAGAAAUUGAGUGACCCAAUAUUUUGAAUUGAGUGUGGACAGAGAUGAAAAGACUCAUCAAGUAGUAGACUUGUCCUAAUCCUUGGGUUCUCUAACUAUGUUCCAUUCUUUAUAUCGAAGAAUUCUUGGAAUAACGAUAAAAUUAUUUUUAUAUGACUUAUAUAGAUUACAUGUUUGAGUCGUGAAAUUAAUAUUGUGUCAAGAUAGAUUGUAUAUCACAUUCCUUUGGGUAUGUGGUCUUGUCCUCGAUUGACUCUGUGUGAGCAUGAGAUGUGAAGGGCAAUUUUGGAGCAAUUGUAGGGUUGUAUGUGGUCUUGCCCUCGAUCGACUCUGUGUGAGCAUGAGAUGUGAAGGGCAGUUUUAGAGCAAUCGUAGAGUUAUCCUAUGUAAACGUAAAUAUUAUAAGUUCCAGACAUGAAAUCAAUCACUACAUAAAUUACUUAUAUUGUACACCCUUUCAGGAUUAAGACCUUUUAGCUUUCUGUCCUAUAUGAACGCGGUAUAUUUUAUGUAUUAGGUUAUUCCUUUUAAAUGUGUAUCUAUGCUUGUUAUCUGGCGUGUCCAAAAACAAAUCACCCUUAUAUCUAUUACGGAUAAGAUGCAUUUAACUCAAAGAAGUGUAAACCAUAAGACAAAUAUCAAUUACAAAUCUGUCCAAAAAAUAAAUCACCUUUAAUAUAUAUGUUACACAUAUUUGGAAAAAAAUGUAAACUAUAAUACAAAAUAUAAGUUACAAAUGGAAUUAGGAUAAAUGUUUAACAGACGUGUCCAACAAAACAACCACCUGCAUCGGUCGGUUCGGUUCGGUUUUAUGAAUUAUCGGUUCGGUUUUUCGGUUCUUAAAUAUGCUAAAUCAAUAACAAAUCAAUAAGAUAAAUUUUUAUUGGUUUUGGUCCUUAACGGUUCGGUUUUCAGUUUAACCAAUAAGAAUAUGCUUAUAAAACAAAUAUAAGACUUCUCUAAUAAAUUUGACACGACAAGACAAUAAUGCAACUUUACAAAAGCUCAUAAAAUAGAAAUAAUAAUAACAAACAUGAAAAAAACUAUACAUGUGUAACACAGAGAAAUAAAGAGGAAUAUAAUUCUUACUUUAGGUUUUGACGAUUUGUAUAAUGUAAAGUUGUGAACUCAAAGUUACAGCAAAAUAUGAAUUGAUGGCUAAAUGACAAAGACAUAACUAUUAAGAUAUUGAGAUUAAUAUUUAUUAAUAUGUAUGUAUAUGUAAAAGUAUUAAAUUACUAUAGUCUUAACUCUUAAUGGGUUAUCGAUUUACCCAAUAACUCAAUAUUGAAAACCAAUACCGAAUCGAUAACCUGAUAAUUUUUUUUUAUAAAACCAUUAAGAAACCGUUAACCCAAUAACCCAAUAACCCAAUAGCAAUAAAUCAAUAACACUUUUUUUUAUUCGAUCUAUCGAUCGGUUCGAUUUUUCUCACCCUUACUCUUCAUAGAUAAGAUGUUUUUAACUCAAAAAAGUGUUAGUCAUAACUCAUAAGAUAUACAUCAGUUACAAAUGAUUAGAAUACACAUUUAAUAGACGUAUUAAAAAACAAAUCACUUACAUUAUAGAUAAGAUUCUUUUAACUCGAUAAACGUAAACCAUAAGAUAAAAUAUUAGUUACAAAUGGUUGAUAUCCAAGCCCUUCCCCUCCAAUUCUUGCGUUAAACUCCACAUUUUUUUUGUGUGUUUAAAUCCUCUUUUAUCUAUUACACAUUCAAUCCCAUCAACAAUAAUUAACCUCUUCUCCACUUCAAAAAAACAAAAAAAAAAAAUCACAAUCUUUUCACUAUCAUUUUCAAUAUUUUUUCUUCUACUUCUCCAUUAUUUUUUUUCCAUAUAUUUAUCUAUCCUUCUCCCUAUUUUUUUUAGUAAAAAGGGUGAGAGGGAAAACAAAAAUAUAAUUUGAAAAAAAAAUAAAGUUGUUAUAAUCAUGGAUUUCUCAAAAGAUAUUGAAAGACAAAAAUCAGUUAUGGGGUACCCGUCAAUGACUAGACACAACCAAUAUAUUUCUCAUCAACAAACAAUUCCUUCAUCAUAUAACAAUUCUAGUUUUAUUAUGCCUAGUAAUUACAAUAAUUACCCUAAUAAUAAUAAUAAUUCAUAUAGUGUGAAUUAUUCCCAAAAGUAUUUACCAUUGCAAGAUCAAAUUGGUAAUAAUAUCAACACUAAUUCAACGUCGUUCGGUCGUUAUGUAACGACCAUGAUGUUGAUAUUGAUUAUGUCGAUGAUCAUGUUCAGUAUAGUCAUCUGGAUGCUAUUCGGAAAGGAAAAGCCUCAAUUUCAAAUCAUGUCAUUACAAGUUCCUACAGGACUCAUGAUCACAAGUACCUCAAUGUUAGGUAAUUGGCAAGUCAACGUAUCGAUGAAAAAUCCAAAUAAUGAGCUAGAUAUAAAAGUGAAUCAAGGGAAGGUUGGGAUUUUCUAUGAGACAAAUCUAUUGGCGGAGAAUAUUAUUGAUCCUUUUAAUUUGGGGGAAAAGCGUUCCACUUUCUUGUUUUCCAAUUUGACAACGUUACCUGGUACCUUCCUUGAAAAUGGGAUUUUGUUAGAAGCUAAUGGAUCAAGAAAUGAUUCCGGGGUUUUGAAAUUUGCGGUACAAAUUAAUAUGGGGUAUGAAUAUUCUUCCAAGACAGAGUCAAAAAGAGAGAGGAUUAGGGUUUAUUGCAAUGAUUUGAAAGUUCAAUUUGGGCAUGGGUCUAAAGAUAAAGGGGAGUUGAUAAAAGAUGAGAGUGUAGAUUGUAUCGGAACCACAAUAUGAAGUUUAUGAGUUUUUACAAUGAUGUUAAAAUGAUUCGUUGUUGCCCUUUUACUAGAUUAGAAUUUUUCUUUUAUCUUUGUACAGUUUCUUUUUUAUUUUCUUUCCUUGGGAAUAGGAAACAGUGUAAAUUUACAAUAGUAUAUGAAGACAUUUACUUUAAAUUGUAUUUUGCAAGUUCUUGAUUUUUCUACUAAAUUUUUUAUUUACUUUGUUUUUCACUUUUCUUGAAUUUGGGUAAAAUUAAUUUCGAUGCGCUGACAUAGGAGAAUAAAGAUUAUACUGAGCGUCAAAACUUGUAAACAAUGAAUUUUUUAUUUUACAUGUUCAAGAUAUACCAAAAUUAAAAGUGUCAAAUUACUCAAAUUUAAUUAAUGAAAAUAUGACUCGCCUAACCCAAACUUGGGCUGGUUGGAUUGGUCAUAUGUUCAUUGAUGGAUCAUUUUGGACAUAACCUAAAUUAAUCAAUCUAAAAGUUUGAGCUAAAACCCUUGGCGAUGAGCAAAAUCUCCCGAAAGAGAUGAAAACAAAUAUCUGAUAUACACAUAUGGCAUACAUAUAACAUAUAUUUUUAGGUGUUGAUUCCUCACAGUUGACCUAUACAUAUAGUUUGAAAACACAAACUUUGAAUUCAAUUAGUUACACAUACAACUGAUGUCUUCACAUACAUCGAACUUCUACUUUGAAAAUUAAACACGUACAUAUCUAUAGAGUUUAAAAUCAGACACCAUAUUCACGCGACUUCAUCUAGAACAAGAUAUUGUAUACGCACGAAUAUAGUGUAUUUUGCUAUAUUUUGAAUGGAAAACAAUGAGCUAUAUAUUACCAAAAUGAACACUAAAUAGUGCUAUUUAUGAAUCUUCUCUUAUGUAAGUGAGAGCUAAGGUCUAUAAAGGCUAAUGGGCCUUUGGCCUCACAUGAAUGGGCUCAUUUGAUAGAAGAUCAACCAAAUGGACUACAGUCUAAGGUCCAACUAGGCUUCUAUUUUAAAGGCUUGUUUGAUUGGGAAUAAGUAAUUUCGGGAUUAGUUAUCCCAGAAUUGUCAUCCCAUCUCAAUGAGAGGUAAAAUAAAGUUAUAAUCUCGGAAUAACGAAUCAUGGAAUAACAUGAUAUAAUCUCAACCAAGCAUGAAAUAAAUUCAUCCUAAAAAUUAAUUUCGAAAUUAGUUAUCCAUUAUUCUUCCUCCCAAAUGAGCUCUAAGUCAUUUAGUUGGAUCUAAAUAAUCAUCACAAAUUAUAUUUAUUUGGACCAAAAUUAAGUGAAAUAACAUUUAAAUGCUAACAAUUUCCAACUUAUUUGCCCAAACAUAGAAGUCGGAUCUAGAAUAUAACAUAUGAACUUAAUAAAUCUUAACUUGAGGCCAUUUUGGGAACUUCCAAUCUCUAUAACAACUCCUUUUCUAGUACCAUUUUUAAAAAAAAUGUAUAUUAUUCUAUCAUAAUAAUUAUCUAUUUAUCAAUAACAAAAUGCGUCACUUGGCGUAAAUCUUAGUCCACACAUGUCAACAAAUUAUAAACCAUCAAGUUAUACUUCGAUCCGAUGUAAACGCUUACUUAAAUAUUUUGAACUAUCAAUUUUUUUUCUAGUACAAUUUUGAUUAGAAUAAUUUUAGUUUCACUUUCAUGUGAGUUUCUUUCUAUCUUUUUUUCCCCUUUCUUAAUCCCCUAUAUUCUUCUCUAAUUUUUCUUCAUAGAAUAGAUUUAGAAGAAUUCAUAGGGGAUUUAGAAUUUUAUUUAAUUAAAAUGGGAAAGGAAGAAGAAAAACCAGUUUUGGGAUAUCAAAAAUCAGAAUAUUCUUACCAAACAAAUCCUCAAUUUUACCAAUCAGACCCUCAAUUUCAUCAAAUGCAUCACCCCGCCUAUAUCGAGCCUGGUCCGGGUUACCCUAAUAACCCGUCCAUACAACAACCUUAUCAAUAUUACGAAUAUAAUUACCCUGCAAGGCCACUACCUUAUGUGUCCCCUGACAUAGAUCAGGGGUUCUCAUUUGGCAGAGUCAUGCUCUGCCUAAUGCUUUUUUUAUUUUUAUUUGCAAUGAUUAUAAGCAUGUUCACUAUGAUGGUGUUCAUGACAAUAAAACCUACAUUCUAUUUGGAAUCGUUCGAGGUUCGCUCGUUUGAUUUAUCAGGCAAUGGCGGAUCUGGGACAACGUUGAAGGCUAAUUGGGAGACGAAAGUAUUAAUUAAAAAUACGAACACUAGGUCAUCAGUACUUGUGAAUCAAGUUGAAACAUCCUUGGUGUAUAGGUAUGUUGCACUAGACGUAUCUUACGUCGAUCAUGUCGAGAUUCAGAAGGAUAGUAACGUCCAGAUACUGGACGCGUUCUCUUUCCCUAGCUCGAAACUAACGUUUAACACGGAUUCUGUGGUGAAAGAAAUGGCUAAAGAUAGACAAAGAGGGCAAAUUAUGUUUGAUUUGAAACUUGAGGUACAACUUAUGGUUAAGUCUAAUGUUUUUCAUAAAUCAGAGAAAAUGCGUUUGUUUUGUGAAAGAAUUACAUUAGAUUUUAAGAAUAGUACUUCUAAUAUUCCAACAUGGAAUGGUAAUAAACAUGAAUGUGUAUCAGGUUUAUGAUUUUUUAUGUAAUUAUAAUGUAAGAAAAUAAAGUUUAUAAAAUUUUGAUGUAUACAAAUUAGAACAUAGGUAAAAUUGAGUUGAUUUUAGGAUGUUUUAUUAUGUUAUGUUUUCUUGUACAAACCAUUAAUUUAUGAUGAAAUGUUGUGUUUGUGUUAUCUUUUUAUUGUUUCAUAAGUUAUUGCUAUGUUAGAUGUAGUAUUAUGCUAUACUUGAUCAGUCGAACGUCUAUCGAAAAUGAUAGAUGUUUUAUUAUGUUAUGUUUUUUUGUACAAACCAUUAAUUCAUGAUCAAAUGUUGUGUUUGUGUUAUCUUUUUUUUGUUUGAUAAUUAAGUUGCUGCUAUGUUGGAUAUUGUGAUAGUAUGCUAUACUUGAUAAGUCGAAUGUCUAUCGGAAACUGUCUUUUUACCUUUAUAAGAUAUGAGUAAGAAUGCAUAUACAUCAUCUUUUAUAUUUUGACAAGUACGUAUUUCAUAUUUUUUUAAGUUCAAUAACAGUUCAAACAAUGAUUCUUAAAAUUUGCUUGUACCUUUUAAAUUAAAAUGUUUCCUACCCCUAAAGUGCUUGCUCCACAAUUGAUUUGAUAAAUCAUUCACUUUAUUUUAAAAAAUUAUUUAACAUUACUUUAAUUACUAUCUUUUUUAUAAUGCAUCCUUCAUUUGUCACUAUAUAUAGUAACACUCACCUUAAUGACUUCAUUUGUCAAUUUUUGAGUAGGGUCUUUUUUUUGUUUGCUUCUUUUAUUUUAAUUUCUUUUAUUCUAAAUUGUAUGCAAAUUGCUAAUAAAAAUUUGAUCUUCUUUUUCUCCCCACUUUUCAUUUGGACUUUUCUCAUUGAUGGAAUUUUCCCACUGACUAAAUUUUUCUAUUUUUAUUGAAGAUCAACUUUAAGUCCCAAUCUAAUGACAUCUUUUUUCUUUUCUAGGAAAAGAAAAUAAUUGUGAAAACAUUAUAGAAUUGGGGAAAAGAUGUUAUAAAAGAGGGAGGAAAAAAAAGGGUUGUUCACCAAAAGAUAUUAUCGGGACGAAUCUGAUUUUCUUCACCUCUUAUAUUCGAGCUUUGAAAAUAAAAUGAAAUUUUAAAUUGGAAAAUCAAUACCUUUUCUUAUAAUGGAUUUUACGCAAUGCAAAAUUCAAAUUUAAGGAUAUUUGAAAAUGAAUAUCGAGUACCGAAUAAAAUAUUAUUAUUUUUUUAAAAGGGAAGUGUGACAAUGUGAUCAAACUUGAAAUGAUUUUUUCUUAAAUUCUAUAUAGUAAUUUGGAAUUAUUGGAGAGUUCAAACUUCAAAGAAGAUGUUGUGGGGCCUUUUUGGCAGAACAAAUAACUGAUUUUUUGUAGGAAUAAAAAAUGUGUCAUGACUCAAAAAAAAAAGAUAUUUUUACUUUUUGGAUCUAAAUAUUGGAUGAUAUAUACUCUAUAUAGGAUAGACUGUGAAGUCUGAGUAAUUUGAAUUUAUUUUAGAAAAUUUCAAUUUUGGAGGUAAAACAAAAUAAAUUUUCUAUCUAAAAUUAGUGUUCAACUUGAAAUUUUCAUAAAAAUUAUUGUUGAGUGUGACGAAUUUCUUCGAAAGUAACAUAUAUUUUUUGAUGAAUUUAAUAUGAGUACAAUAUUAUUUUAAUAUGAUCCGAAUAAUAUAGGCUUAGACAAUAUCCUUUGAUUCUUGUGCUCUUUACUAUGCAUAAUUUUAAGGGGAAAAUGUCUGAAAUAUAUCUGAACUUUGACUGAAAUUGUUGUAACAAUACCGAACUUUGGAAAGGACCUUUUGCUCCUGUACUAUUUAAUAGUGUAUUUUAAAGGUAUAUAUGUGCCCACGUGGACAUCAUAAAUAUUGCAUCAUUAUAAAUAGUAAUAGUAAUGUGUCCACGUGGCACAUAUAUACCUUUAAAAUACACUAUUAAAUAGUACAGGAGCAAAAGGUCCUUUCCAAAGUUCGGUAUUGUUACAACAAUUUCAGUCAAAGUUCAGAUAUAUUUCAGACAUUUUCCCCUUAAAAUUAUGCAUAGUAAAGAGCACAAGAAUCAAAGGAUAUUGUCUAAGCCUAUAUUAUUCGGAUCAUAUUAAAAUAAUAUUGUACUCAUAUUAAAUUCAUCAAAAAAUAUAUGUUACUUUCGAAGAAAUUCGUCACACUCAACAAUAAUUUUUAUGAAAAUUUCAAGUUGAACACUAAUUUUAGAUAGAAAAUUUAUUUUGUUUUACCUCCAAAAUUGAAAUUUUCUAAAAUAAAUUCAAAUUACUCAGACUUCACAGUCUAUCCUAUAUAGAGUAUAUAUCAUCCAAUAUUUAGAUCCAAAAAGUAAAAAUAUCUUUUUUUUUUGAGUCAUGACACAUUUUUUAUUCCUACAAAAAAUCAGUUAUUUGUUCUGCCAAAAAGGCCCCACAACAUCUUCUUUGAAGUUUGAACUCUCCAAUAAUUCCAAAUUACUAUAUAGAAUUUAAGAAAAAAUCAUUUCAAGUUUGAUCACAUCCUGCACUAUUUAAUAGUGUAUUUUAAAGGUAUAUAUGUGCCCACGUGGACAUCAUAAAUAUUGCAUCAUUAUAAAUAGUAAUAGUAAUGUGUCCACGUGGCACAUAUAUACCUUUAAAAUACACUAUUAAAUAGUGCAGGGGUAAAAUGUCCUUCAUAAAGUUUGGUAUCGUAACAACAAUUUCGACCAAAGUUGGAGUAUUUUUCAGACCAUUUUCCCCUAAUUUUAACAUGAUUUAACAGAUAUGUUUCCUGAAAUUUUUAAUUAUUAAUCUCAAUAAUUAUUUUUAAGUGAUUCGAUAGUAUUAAUUUUUUUUUUAUUAACACUAUGUAUUCAUUUUAAUCAGCCAACCACAAUAUUCCACCUACUAAAAUACAGGAGCAUCCAGAAGCCUUUUGUUCAAGGGUCAUUCUCAUGAAUUAAUUAACUUAAUUUUGUAAAUUGAGAAAUCUAUUUUUUAUAUACAUUUAUGGAUCAAAUGUUUAUUUUGAGAUUUUUUUUCUCUCCAUUAGACCUACUUUUCUGUAUCUUUCUUAAGCCAAUAAUUGUUUUCUAACGUUUAGUAACAUUUUCAAUUUCACAAGUUUUACCAUAAAAGCCUUUUUCAUUAUUUUAACAAUAUAAUUUUGACUUCUUGCGCUAUAACAUAAAAAAAGAGAGAAGAAUUCAAGAAAGAAAAAUUGUUUUACUGAUUCGAGAUGAAUAUUUGUUAUCGAUGGAGAAAAAAAUAACCAUAAAUCCCAAAUGAUCAACGAACUAUUGAUUUCUUCUUCGAUAAGUUUUAAAAGGGAGCAGAAAUAUCGUAAUAAAUUUGACUCAUCAAAUCAAUUAAUACGUGUACAAAUACAUAAAAAAGAAUUAUUUUUUAGAAUCUAUAAAUUUAAAAUUCUUUUAUCAGCCUCUUAAACCUAUAUAUUCUAUUGAAUCUAUUUAAUAAUCACCAUUUUGGGAACAUAAAUUCCCAACUCCACAUUUUUAUUCUUUUGAAUUUUUCUACAAUAUGGUCUACAAAAAUGAAGUUGAAAGGAAAGUGCAAUAACAAUACGUCAAACCGACAAUACUUUUAAUUAAUUAAUUCAUAUGUGAGAGUCAAAUAUUUUUAAGCAAACAAUUGUUGACUUCUUUAAGUCUUUGGGGUACUGUUUUGGGGACGGCUAAUUGGAAAAUCCAAACAUAGAAUACUCACAAAAUUUCGAUAUUCGUAUUAGAGUUCGAUUUCAUUUAGAUAAAAGAGUCAUAGGUUCAUUAUGAAGUAGUGCUCCCACGAGGAUUGAGGUUAAAAGUAAAUGAACCUCAACUAUCCCAACAUAAUUCAUGAUGAUUACUUAUAAAAUAUCAUUUUUAUGGAUUACAAAUUCAUUUCAUAAAAAAAAAAAAAUACAAAUUAGCUAUGGGUUAUUUUUAUGGCUAAAAAAAAGAUUUUUUAACAUAUAUAAAUUGGUCGAGUGCAAAAUAUUUAUUUUUUCGAACUGAUGUAUGAUUGAUUAUACACUUAUUAUACAUAAAUUAUACUAUAUAUAAUAAGUCUUUGAUCUUUUUUUACCCAACCCUAUUGAAAAAGAAAAGAUCUACGAGCUAGACAUCCAUCAUGGUCGAGCUAUUUUUAAUUUAAGCAGUUAGACAAAUAAAUAUACAAACUAUUUAUUAGCUUAGUUCUUCUGAAAAAUUCGCUACUAAUUCUAUUUAUAAUGAAUUAUGAAAAAAUAAAUGUAUAUAUCUAAACUAUUUUGGCAAUAAAUUAGCUCUGAUUAUUUUUACAAUCUAUUUUCUUUUUUUAGUAUUUGGUUAUUUAAUACACAUUAAGAUAUAGCUUACAUUAGAGAGAUACUAGAGGAAAAUCAAAGAUUAGGUAAAAGGUCGGUAAAUGAAUAUCAUGACAAAGAAAAUGAUAUUAUUAUUUAAUUGACCAUUUUAGAGUGGUUGAUUGCAUGAAAAAAAUAUUCAUCUUAUCACAAUUAUGAUAUAUAUUAAUAUAAUAUAUAUAAACAAUAACAUACCAAUUUGAUUCUUCCUUCUUUUAGUCUUCUCUUUUAUUUUCUUUCUUACUACUUAUAUUUUAAUGUAUAUGAUAUAGUUUAAUUAAACGUAAGAUUAAAAAAAAAAUCUUAAAAAUAUUAUAAUAUGGUCACUCCUAGAGUUUCAAAUGCAACAAGUAAAACUCCAUGACAACAUUAAUAUUGAAGUUAUUGAUGUAACAAAAGUCAUCAUACGAUUUCAUUUUUGAAAAUUAGUUACUAUCUUAAAGUUUCAAAUUCAACAAGUAAAACUUUAAAACACUAUCUUAUUUUUUAUUUUAUUUUUAAAAUUGAAAUUUUAGGAUAGUAAUUAUGUUUUAAUUAUACAAAUUGAAAGUGACUUUUUAUUAAUUUUUUCAUAUUAUUAACACUACUCCGCUCCUCCACAAAUUUCAUUAUCAUCAUAGUUGAGAUGUUAACAUCUCCACUCAAUAACAUAUUGGACUUUUCUUCAUGCUAAAAUAAAAAAUAAAAAAUAUGUACAAUAUUUAAUUAUAAAUUUAAUUAUUAUUAUUAUUAUUAUAAGAAUUUAUAAAUUUGUGAUACUUCCAUCUGUCAUAUUUAUAUUAGACCUCAUUGUUGAAAAUGAUAAAACAACUUUGUAACGUCAAUUUAACUAGAAUUUUCUCUUAUGUUAGGAAGAUUUAAUAGAUUAUAUAUAAUUCAAAAUAAUAAUAACUUACUUUAAUAUGCAUGGUAUAAUUUAAAAUUAUUUUUAGUUAAAACUUUUGAAACCAAAUUUUAAAUGCAAAAAAUCUUAAUAAGAGAUUCUUCCUCUUUUAACGACUAUAAUACGUUCCAAUUUUAAAUAAGUUGUGUGACAUGAUGGCAUCCUAAUUUAAAAUAAGAGUCGGAAUCAAUAAAAUAUAGAAGAAAUGUUGCGCAUAUAAAUAAGUCUUAUACUUUAGUGAUGUGUUUCAAAUUCGUAUGAGUCUAUAUUUAGAACAGAAACAUCAUUAACGGGUUGGUUUAAUACAAAUCGUAUCAAAAUCACUUUUAUGUCAACCUUGUUGAUGAUAGAUCAGAGUUCAACUGAAUUAAGAUAAAAAAAAAUUAAAAAUAGAAAAAAUCUCUAAAUUAUACUAAUCUAAAUUCAGAACGAACAAUAUCACUAACGUAUCAUAAUGGAAAAAAAGUAAAAAUAAAGAAGAAGAAUACAAUUAAUAGUCGUCGGUGGGUGAGCUGGAUGAACUUUUUUCCCCUAUUAUUUGGCCACCCAACACUUGUCAUUUACUGCUUUUUUUAUAUUAAUUAAUUAAAACAUUUGUUACUAAUCAUUUUUGAGAAAAUGAUCAAAAUGGUCCUUGAUGUAUUGAUGUUGCUUUAUUUUGGUCCUCAAUAUAUUCUAGGUGAUUGAAAUAGUCCUUCAUAUAUGACAAAAUGUGUUCAAUUUAGUCUUUUACCCUAAAUUUAACAUUUUCAAAAUCGUUAAAUAUAACGGUGGGGCCCACCAUUAUAUUUAACAGUUUUUGGGGGUAAAAUGUUAAGUUUAGGGUAAAAGACUAAAAUUGAACACAUUUUGUCAUACAUGACCACCGUUAUAUUUAACGAUUCUGAAAAUGUUAAAUUUAGGGUAAAAGACUAAAAUUGAACACAUUUUGUCAUACAUGACCACCGUUAUAUUUAACGAUUCUGAAAAUGUUAAAUUUAGGGUAAAAGACUAAAAUUGAACACAUUUUGUCAUACAUGAAGGACUAUUUCAAUCACCUAGAAUAUAUUGAGGACCAAAAUAAAGCAACAUCAAUACAUCAAGGACCAUUUUGAUCAUUUUCUCAAUCAUUUUUCAUAAAAUAACAAAAAAAAAUGAAAGUAAAAGUUAAAAAGAAUCACUACACAUGCAUGCCUAUGCCUUUUUUUUUAAAGAAAAAUCUUUGAGAAAAGUGCUCAACUAAUUUUAGGUAAUUAUGUAUAUAAAUAUUAAUUGAAGGGAAGCUUCUGAACGAUUUUAUUAAUGUAGUUCAAAAUAUGAAAACAUAAAUACACCAAGAACUCAAGUGAAUUCAUCAUAUAUAUAUUAUAUAUAAACCAUAGAUUUAAACGGUAAAAACAAUCAAUAAUAUUUAUAUUAGAAUAGAAAUAGGUUGUCCACGUCAUAUCAUUUGAGAUAUCACCUUUUUUUUGGGUGGGGCUGGGACUGGGGGGUGGGGGUAACUUACUAGUUGGAUUAAAGAUUUAUAAAGUCCAAGCAUAUAAUCUUUAAUUUGAGGGAAUAUGUUCCCUGCUUUUCUAAGUAAAAAGAUGACAUAAAGUAACAAAUCCAUUUUUUGAGGAUUAGAAUGAGAAUUUAUAUAACAAAAACAAUAGAUAAUAGAUAAAUAUAAAUGAAUUUCAAAAGUUGUAGUGUACAUGCGUAAAUAAUUUGUUUUUUUUUUUUUUAAAAAAAACAAAAUGAUUUUUCAUUAAUAUCUUUCAAAAAAUUGUAGUAUACAUGUUUAUUUUUUUUUUAAAAAUAAUAAUUAUUCAUUAAUAUCGAAUUUAGCAAAUGGAGGUGGAGUCAAAAUGGUGCAAUAUUAAUCAGAAAACUCAGAUUCGAGCCACCUGAAUGGAGUGAAAUCAGAAGGGUGCAAUAUAUUAGGGUUUAUCAAAUUUCCUUUUGUCGGUAUAUAUCGCGUAUACUAUUUUUUUAAAAAAAUUCUUCGUGUGUUUACCUGAGAAUGAAAUCAUCUUUAAUAGAGUCAUAAGGAGAAAAUUACACCCAAAGUAAAAAAAUUCGUCAUGAAUACAAAUUAAUCAAAUCUCAAAAUAAAAAUAUCGCAAAUCAAAACUUUAAAAAUUCUGAAAAUGUUCUUUUUUUGUUUUAUAUAUAUGAAAAGUAUAUAACCUCUGAUUAGAUCUCCUAUGAUGGUGCAUCAUAUUUAGUGCAAAAGUUUAAAUUCAUUUUGUACAAACCCUAGAUUAAUUUGUUUUUAAUUACCAUUGACCAAAUUAAACAAAUUGGCCUAUCUAUAUAAUAUUAUUCCCGCAUAAUACGUCUCUUGGAUCCCAAAACAAAAUUACUUAUCAUAUCAUAAUGUUCAAAUUUCGAGAAUUAAAUAAGUUAUUUUUUUAUAAUAAUAUCUUUUAAAUUAUUAAUUAUUAUAAUUUCUAUCUAUCAAUAAUUUUUAAUUUCAAACACCAAGCCGACAAGUUAAUAGUAAUUAAAUAAAAGAUAAUUCACACAACUUUUUUCAUAAUAAGUAAUUCUCACAACUUUAUGUAAAUUCGAUAAAGCAAUUAAUUCUCGAAAUUGCUUAAAGCUUCAUUUGACUCUUGGAACUAAAUUAAUAUAUAUAGUCAACCCAAAAUGAUACACAAAAAAUACAUUUCAUAUAUACUUGGAGUUUUAACUUAUAUAUUUUAUCGUCUCAAUUUAUGUGAUAUUAUUUUAAUUUUGGAAAUUAAAUAUUUUGGUGUUGUAAGGUACGAGAAAUUAGAGAUAAUAAUUCAAAAUAAAUGUAGAAUUUUUGUUUUAUAAUGUGUUUGGUUAGACGUAUUAAUUAGUUUCAAGAUUACUAUAAUUAAAAUUUAUAUAUUUAAAAAUUACGUAAAAAGAAAUACUAUAAAUCACAACAAUUUAAAAUAUUCAAAAAGCACAUAAAAAUUUGCAAUAAAAAAAAAACUCGUCCUACAAAAUUCAAAAAAUGUUACAUAAAUUGUGCCUAUAUAUAACCUUAUCCAUAUCUAUAGCUAAUAACUCGCCUUAUUUCAAGAUUAUAUUCAUCACACUAUACAUUAAAUGAACGUGGCAGAUUGAGCAUCUAUUUUUCAUAUAUCAUUUAAUUGUAAUGUAUUAUAUGUAUACAUGUGGGCCCCAUGCUUUGAUAAGAAAGUGGGAGGAAUUUGACAUAUUAGUACCCCCUUUACCAAUGCUAGCUACAACACACUUUCUACAACUCAAGUGGCAUAAAAUAAAACUACUUUACUCACCUCUCUCUAUCUAUAUAGUCAAUCAAUUCCCAUCUCCCCUCCCUUUUCAUUUCUCCAACACAAACCACUCUCAACAACCUUUCCUCCUCCCUCCACCAUCACAACUAUCACCACCGACAUGUCGGAUAAAAAGUGUAGCCACCACAAGAGCAAGAAGAAGAAGCUAAUUCGACGUUGUUGUGCUGGAUUCCUUAUCUUCCUCUUCUUAGCUCUUCUCACUAUCCUCAUAGUAUGGGCUAUACUU
rnacentral:lncRNA from 1 species